rnacentral:lncRNA from 1 species
CCAAUUUUUCCAUCACCUUGUGCAGAGAAUCAGAUCGCAGACACAUUUGACAUCGUUGUCCAUUAAAGAAGCUAUGAGGAGAAUUUGCAUCUUGUCCCAGCUGUAAUGCCUUGAAAAUAUAAAAAAAAAAAAGGUUGGUUGAGCACCACUUACCCUGGACAAUCACGCAUAAGAUACAUUCAUCAUGCAAAAUGGGAUGAAUAUAUGAGGUGCAAAAUCAAAUUGGCCUGGAUGUGCAAUUCUCCAAUAAAAACGUUCAUUUGCAAUGAUGCAACCUCCAAACAAUAUUUUCAAGGAAACAUCUUUCAGAGACUCGUAGGGACCAGCCUGCAAUAUAACAAGGCAGUGCUUUGAGUACGAUAUGCACAUCACACCAGAAAUGCUAUUCAGAGCUGAAGAAACUCGCAUUUUGUCACUUGUAGUACAGCAUAAAACUUCGAAUCUGGAGAACUUCACUCUCAUGCUUGAUUGUGAUUUGAGUUUUACAUUCUUUAUGAGUAAGUUAUAUUAAUCUACUUUUCACUCAAACAAGUUCACCUUCUACCAAGCAAAAAGAAGUGGAUUGGAAGGUACAAUACUACUUGAAAGGGUGUUGCAACAAGCACUGAACAAAUUUGUACUGGUCAUGUACGAACUUAUCAACCCCCAGGGCAAGAUGUUUUCGAAGUGUAAUUACAUACAAAUGAUACAAAAAAAGGCAAAUUUUAAGUCAACAGCUUGUAUGUUAUACAAAGACAACUACUUUUCUAUGAGUGUCCCAUCAACACUGUAAGAGGUCUUCCAUUUGAUAAUAUCAUGAUGAAAUGGGAAAGUGUAAUCUUGUCGUAAUCUAUGUUUUCAUCGGUUUUAGUGUGACUCUCUCUAUCACUCCCAUAUUCUAGUCACUAAUUUUUUUUAUAAAAUAGUCAAAAUAUACUGUUCAGGUUCUGUUCAAUUACACUGAAUACAUCCAAUGAGACCUUAUGGGGGGGGCAUACUAGAAAAAGUUAAAAAGGCACUGCAGAAAACAUACAUGGAUUAGACGCCUUGGGAACACUCCCCCAUUUUGGUCAAUUCGUCGGUUAAGCUGCAACUUUCCUUCUUUCCAAGCAUAUAUUGUGUGUGUCUCAAGCUGUUCCUCUGUCAGAUUUGACCCACGAUUCCCAAGAUGCAUUGAAAGGGUUAGACAGCCAUGUAGCAAAAACCUCUCAACUAAACCCAGAUGCAAAAACUUCCAUGUGGCACACAUAACAGAAAUCAUGCAGUCAAAAUCUAGAGCAUAUAAUAGCAAUCCCUUGUGAUCAAAGCAGUUGUCACUUCACAAAGAGCUCAACGGAGAAAGGCACGAGAAAGGAAACCAAAUAACUUUAUUUCCACCUAUGCUUAUCAAGAAUUCUAUAUGCCCAUAUAAACAAAUACUUAAAUAAACAACAUGCAAAACAAACGAUUCUAAAUAACCUAAAAGAUGUAUCUUUAUUAGUGGUUUCCAUUAAUACUAGCACCCUCUUACAUACACAACUCAAUCUGUUAACUAGCCAUUGUGGUGUUGAUAGGAUUUCCUAUAAGUAAUCUACAAAAAAAAGAGCCUAAAUGCUGCAUUAUGUAUCUGCAAAAGAACAUUCUACAUUCAGAAACUAACGCAGGUGUCAUACCACAUAUUUCAUGAUUCAUAUGUGUGACACAACACUAGAGAUAAUUGCCACAAGAAAGUCCAAACAUACCUCUCUCAUAAUUAAGAUAAAAUCCAAUGGACUAAGAACUCCAACAAACUGGCCUAAACAGUCCAAUAGAGGAGCCACGUGAAUGCCCUGCAGAAAGUUUAUUUUAGGGAAGAUGUGAAUAGGGAAUUAAGCAAAGGGGUAUAUGAUCGAGAAACCCAUGAUCAAGCAAAAAAACGAUAUCAAUAAUGGAAUAGAACAUCUUUAAAUAAUGAGCCUCUAGACACCAUUAAGCAUUCAAUAAUAUAUACUUGCACAGGUGGCAAAUAGAAGCAUUUCUGCAUGACCUUUUCUUUUUGCCUGGCAAUGAUACCAAGCCUAUCAUCAAUAUGACCAAUUAUUGUUUCUAAACAUUGGUAAGAGAAUUGGUUGGGUAUAUAAAGGUCAGUAGCUCACAUGUUUGCAGCUUAUAUAACCAAAGGCGAAUCUACACAAGGUCUUGGCUUCCAUUGGUCAAGGCAAUAAAUUAAGGUUUUAGCAUGAGUGCAUGACAGGGAUCGAAGGCGAAAGAUAGAUUUUCAUCUUGUGUAUGAAGCAAACCGUCUCAAUGGGUAAAAAUUGGACAGUGCUUACAACCCCAAAAGAAACCUACAAGUUAGCAAUAUCUUUCACCAAAGGAAUAAGAGAUGUGGGGAUCAAAACUGCCACCCUAAAAAAAAUUCUUUGUUUAGAAUGGGAGGAAAUGCAGACAGGAGCAGUUAGGAUAGCAACAGGGACAAUUCCAUGGUACCUCCAUUUCUCUGUCGGUGUGUAAAUGAGAAGAUAUGCAGGCUCGUCAUCAACAGACAAAGAAAUGGAGGUACCAGAAAAGUGUGACUAAUAUGAUCCAUCUCCAGAGACUUUACAUCAUCUAAAGCUAUAUGUUUGUUGUCUAGACAGAUUGGAACAAGUGGUUUCUCUGGGGAUUUAAGUGCAGCUGGUACGUGCUAGAUGCAUUAUUUGGCAUUUUCACUGAUUGGAAGUUAAGUGCAGCUGGUACUUAAAACUAGCAUGAUAUGUAGCCCUUGUAAUUGUAUUCCAUUUAUCAACAAAACCUCUACCCAAAACAAAAACAUGAUUGCACUUACUUAAUACUCAUAUUGAAUGGAGUAAUGGAUCACAUAAAAAUUGUAUGCAUGACUUUAUUUAGUAAAAGUUUGCCAAAUAAACCCAAAGAAAAUGAUUAUAUGGCAUAAGUAAUUGCAGUAAAUUUUAGAUAACAAGUAAUACUUGCUCAUAAAGAAUGUGAAAUGCUUGCUUGAUGGGUAGAUUUACAUCCAAUGCAAUGACUUGUCGACAAUCAAACCCCACAUUGAUGAGUCCUCAAGUAAUCCACAUUGCUCUUGCAUCAGUUUUAACAAAGUGAGUGUCUCAACAUGUUCCCCAUUAUCAAAAUGACCAGCAAUCAUAGUCGCCCAUAAAAUAGAGUCCUUUAAAAGCAUUUUAUCAAACAGUUGGUGAGCAGAAUCCAAACGUCCACAAGAUACAUAUAUAAGCAAUAAACGAUUUGCUAAUAGCAAUGUAGGUUUAUAUCCAUUUUGGGUCAUGUGAGAGUAAACAUGGGAACCACUUUCAGCAUCUCUUAAUUGGGUACAUUCUUUUAACAAGUAAGCAUAAACAUCUAAUGGAAUAGAUAAAUGUAGGCUAUCCAUUAGGCUUAAAAUGUCGCAAACACCCGCAUUGGCAUUACUACUACUGCUGCUUACUAUUUUUAUUUUUCUUUUUGGUCUGAACAGGGUAUGUUGAUUUGAUGUGGACUGGUGGUGAUGGGUAGAAGGAGAUUUUGGGUUUCGGAGGAUGGUGCAAGGGUGGAAGAAAUUGAAGUGGACAAGGGUUUAUAAUAUGAGUAGGGUAAAUUGGUGAGAAGGUGGUGCUGAUAAUAAUUUCAUUCACUUUGAUUUUGAUGUUUUGGUUGAUUGAUUGCUUGCGUGCUUAAUAAUGCAGUUGUCUUCUUCACCUCAAGUCCUCAACCCACACAGUCACACUCACACCCAAAAAGUUUCCAAACCCGUAAUAGACUCUAAAGACUCAAGACUCAUGACAGCCACAAUUAAGAGAUAAGCAGGCCACUGGACGAUCAAAAUGUGUGAUAAAUAGACUUUUUAUGAGUCAAUGCUAAAAAAUGAGUGAUGAUCAGAAACCAGUUGGUCAGUUUUUGAGUCAAGUAAACCCCCAUCAACUUCUUUAUGGACAUAGCUUGGAUUUUUCGUAGACUUCAGCGACUUGCUCUAUCGGAGAAAAAACCUUAUAAAAUGGCUUGGGGAGAUGUUCAUUUGAAAAUACAUCAAAACAUUUUCUUUGUUAGAAAUGGCAUUUCUAAAAUCCAUUAUACUUGUGUUUAUUGUCUUCUGUUUUAUAGAAACAAUUCAAUUCGGUUGGAAUGUGGACGGUGCUCAUUUGAAUUGUCCACAGAAUGAAAGAAAUGCACUUCUCAGUUUCAAACAAGGUCUGAUUGAUCAAACAAAUAGACUUUCCUCUUGGGUAGGCCAAGAUUGCUGCAAAUGGAAAGGAGUGAGUUGCGACAACUUUACUGGGCAUGUUGUAAAGCUUGAUCUUCGAAAUCCAUUUCCAUUCGACGAGGAUCGUUAUUAUGAUUCUUUCCCUAGAUCUGAUAAGACUUAUAGUGAAGCAUGUCUUGUAGCAGUUGGAGAGGUAAAUUCUUCGCUAUUAGAGUUGAAACAUUUGAAUUACUUAGACUUGAGCUGGAAUAAUUUUUCUGGAAUAGCAAUCCCAAAGUUCUUUGGGUUAUUCCAUGAAUUAACAUAUCUGAAUCUCUCUACUGCAUUGUUUGGUGGAAAUGUUCCACAUCAUCUUGGAAACCUGUCGACAUUGCAUUCUCUCGAUCUUACCAGUCACGAUAUUUUGCUCUUUCAUUAUUAUUCUAAUAUUCCAUCUUUGGUUGUUAACACUUUACAUUGGACCUCUAGUUUAGUAUCUUUAAAACACCUAGUCAUGAGUGGGAUAGAUCUUAGCAAUAUACCUCUUGAUUCUUUUCAAGCAGUUGCUCUUUUUUCGUCUUUGUUGGAGUUACGCUUUUCUGAUUGUUCGUUAGAAAAUAUUCCUCUGUUCCAUUCUACACUUAAGAAUUUUACAUCUCUUACCAUCUUGGACCUUAGCUCCAACAAUUUGCAAGGCCCAAUCCCCAGUGCUAUUCGAAACAUGACUUCGCUUAAAGUCCUCCAACUUUCUGACAACUUGUUCAAUAAUAGUUCAGUUUUGGAUCUUACAUCUCUUCAUAUCUUGGACCUUAGCUACAACAAUUUUCAAGGUCCAAUCCCCAGUGCUAUUCGAAACAUGACUUCGCUUAGAGUCCUCCAACUUUCUGGUAACUUGUUCAAUAAUAGUUCAGUUUUGGAUGAACUGAAGAAUUUAUACAAACUUGAAGUUUUGGACUUGUCGUGGAACGAGUAUGCCGGAAAGAUGUUUGAACGAUUUCCAAAUUUCUCAUCUCCAUCCCUUGGAGAUAAUCUUGAGACAUUGAUAUUGUCUGCAAACAGACUCACAGGGUAUUUGCCUAAUUGGUUGUACCAGUUGAAGAGUAGUCUAAAAUUGCUUGAUCUUUCAGAUAACUCAUUUGAAGGUCGUAUUCCUACAUCUCUAACCAAAUUAUUUGCUUUGCAAGUACUAGAUCUUAGUCAGAAUCAAUUGAGUGGUGAAAUUCCCAUGUCUUUUGGAAAACUUUCCAACUUGAAAAAUCUAGUUCUUUCUUAUAAUCAAUUCAAUGGGACAAUUCCUACAAGUCUAGGACAACUUUCACACUUAACAUACUUACGUCUCCAUGCGAACAAUUUUCAUGGUGUAGUAUCUGAGUUCCACGUUGCUAGACUCUCUAAAUUGAAAGAGUUGGAUUUGAGCGACAAUUCUUUGUCUAUUAAAAUAAGAUCUAGUUGGGUACCUCCCUUUCAUCUCGAGUUACUUUAUUUAGAUUCUUGUGACAUUGGACCUCAGUUUCCGAAUUGGCUACAAAAGCAAACGGGUUUGUACCGUCUGUAUAUGUCUAACUCAAACAUUUCAGAUUCUAUUCCAAAUUGGUUUGAGAACCUUACCUUCCUAAAACGUCUAGAUCUCUCUGGUAAUCAGAUGUAUGGAAAGGUGCCUAAUUUUAUUUCCCCAAAUAUUGUGGAGUUGUACUUGAGUUCUAACAGAUUUGAAGGUUCAUUUCCCCAAUUCCCUUCAUCCUUAAGAUAUUUGGACCUUUCUGAUAACAUAAUUAGCGGAUCUAUCCCAACAAACAUAGGUUAUAGGCUCCCUGAGUUAGAAUUUCUUCUUCUUUCCAAUAACAGUAUCAAUGGAACCAUCCCUAGUUCACUGUGUAAAAUGUUGUCCUUGUCAUAUCUCGAUUUCUCGAAAAAUCAUUUAUCAGGAGUUCUCCCCAACUGCUUAGGUGAUUUACAGAGAGUUGUGGUUAUAGAUUUAACAUCCAACAAUUUAUUGGGAACUAUUCAAAGAUCAUUUUGUCAUCAAUCGGAGUAUCUAACAUCAUUGCACUUGAGCAAAAACAAUUUUCAAGGAGAGUUUCUUUCGGGUUUACAAAACUGCACAAGUUUGAGCAUUCUAGAUGUCAGUGAUAACAAGUUUUCUGGAGAGAUUCCCACUUGGAUUGGGCAAAACCUAUAUUCUUUGAGAAUUAUGAAGUUAAGCUCAAACAAGUACAAUGGUAGCCUUUCUCCAAAGCUAUGCCAUUUGAAUCAACUUCAAGUGUUGGAUGUUGCAGGCAAUAAUCUAUCUGGGAAUAUUCCGCACUGCUUUGGAAAUUUCAGCAUGAUGCUCUUCAAUCAAACAGAUUUCAAUGGCUUUGAUCAUGAUUAUAGAUACCAAGACAAGUUAUCUCAAGUAAUCAAAGGAAGAGAACUUGAAUAUACAAAGAACCUGAGAUUUGUAACCAACUUGGAUCUCUCUAAUAACAUUUUCAUCGGUCAGAUUCCUGAACAACUUACAAAUCUCUCUGGAUUGAAUGGUUUGAAUCUAUCAAGAAAUCAUUUAACAGGAAGCAUCCCAAAAAAGAUUGGUGAGAUGAGGUCACUGGAAUCUCUUGAUUUAUCAAAUAAUCAUCUUUCAGGCACAAUACCACAAAGCAUUUCAACAUUAACACUUGUAAGCUACUUGAAUUUGUCGAACAACAACUUGUCGGGGCCAAUUCCGUCGGGUAACCAGCUCCAAACCUUAAAUGAUACAUCUAUUUACGAUGGUAACAAUGAACUAUGUGGGCUUCCCCUCGAGAAGAAAUGUAUAGCACCUCAAACUCCAACAUAUGUUGAUAGAAAAAGAGAUGGAGAUGGGUUCAUAACAAUUUGGUUCUACCUCGGCAUGGUGUCUGGGUGUGUGGUGGGGUUUUGGGGUUUUUGUGGUGUUUUGUUGUUUAAGAAGAGUUGGAGGUAUGCUUAUUUUCAGUUUGUUGAUAGCAUCAUCAUUGGCGACCGGUUGGUUUAUACUUUAUACAGCUGCUAGAAGAAAAGUCCGACGAAGACGCAAUUAAAGCGCAAACAACAUUUAUGCUUUUUGUAUCUAGUUUGGUCUAAACCUGACGGGUUUGUCACAUACUGAUCAGGAUGUAUUACUGUUGGAUGAUUAAUAAAAUUUCAUUUCAUUUGGGUGAUUAUUGUUCUCUAGUAGUAGAUUUGCAAACUAUGUUUCACAGAUGCAAGAUUUUAGUUUAUCCUAGUUGUAUUAACAACAGUCUUGGCCACAAAAUCAGAGCAUAAAUGAUAGAAGCAAAAUGUAUUGGCGCCUUAUAAGCGAACAAAUGAAGUUUCAACCAACAUACAGUUAACUUUGAUUUUUGAUUUUUGAUUUUUGUGAUGGAUGAAGAACUAGGCCACUAUUCCUUUUGUGUAAAUUUCAUAUUAAUAUUACAUUCUUCAAAUGCAUUUUGCAGAAAUUUAUUCUUCAGUCCACAUCAAACAGACCCUAAUACAAUGAUGAGCUAUGCUGGACAUAUAAAAAUAUGCUAGCAUUUGAUCUUAGCAUAUAUGUAUGCUUCUGAGGACCCGAGUGAUGUGUCUGCUUUAUAAACCGCCACUUUCCUGGUUUAACAUCCAAGCGGGGGAUGACGUUUGAGGAUACACUAUGAGUCUAUGAUUAUGCCCUCACAUAAGUUCAAGAGAGGAGAAGAAAAGGAUGAAAGGAAUUUGAAUCAAACACUACAAAUAUACAGUCCAAGUUCAAGGGGGAAACAAAGAACAGUAAUGGAAUGCAAUUAUUUUUUAUGAGUAUGCCCUGAAUGCGCACAACAAAAGCCAACUUGUUGUUUAUCCAGACUCUUGUAAUUAUCUUUCAAAGAGCUACAAGAAUUAUUUCGGCAUUCCCUUGAAACAACCAACCUUACAAAAAUACAGAAACAAUAUCAACUGCCAUGUCACUUGAUAUUGGAAGAAAUGGGAACAAUUACAUCGUACGUACUGUAUGCUUCAGAACUCAGAUUAGGCUGAAGUAAUAGAACUAUGGGUCCAUUUGAUUGGUCACGCCAAAUAUUCCCGGGGAAAUAUCAGGUUUAACACAAUUUUGAGAACAAAAAGGUGAGUUAUCUCCCAAAAUAACAGCCGAAAGGUCCUGCUUUUGUCCGAAUUGUUGUCCCUGAUUCUAUACAUAUUACACCCUUUUUUUUUGCAAAAUUACAUAUUACACCCUCGAAACUCUCUAUAGCAACAAUUCCCAGACAUAUCUACUACUACUGCUACUAGCAUUUAUGCAUUGAGCUCACUUUACCACAGAUGAUUCUGUUUCGUAAAUCUUAGUACAUACCACAUAUUGAAAGGAAAUAAUUAACUUUUCUCUUUGUUUUUUCAUGUAAUUAUUUAAUAUUCUGAACACCCUUUUAAUGAAAUUCUCCUACUCUAUCCAACAAGAUUGCAACAGCACUUUAUCUGUAAUUCCUUUCUAUAGAGAGACUGGCCGUACGAAAAUUCAAAGUCGAGUGUAUGAUAAUUGAUCUAUAUAUGGAUUGGAAUUGAAGAGACGUUGUUUCAAAUACCCUUGAAACAACCAAUCUCACACACAACAACAAGAUCAACCGCCACCGCCACGUCAUUAUUUUACAAGUAGCUGUCUACCUAAACUUUAACUGCCAAAAUUAAAGUGUCUUUUGUAAAAAAAAAAUUAACUAGGCCUGCUAAAAUACAUCGCCUACUUGCUAUAUUUUAGUCAGUCUACCAUUAAAAAACCUCACCUAAACAUAAACCGAAAAUUAUCCCUUAGAGCUCAACUCAAUUAGAUAGGUUAGGCCGAUAGGGUAAUGUUUACUUUUUGCUCUCAAACCAGAGUACCAGACUAUAGACAAAACAACAACAUUUACAAUAAAUCAGUUUCAGAUACACUUUAUCUAAAAAAACGAGAACAGACCAAAGGAGGAAAUGUUUUCCUUGUGAAUUAAAAUCAUGCCAUAUACAGAACAUAUUUUCAGGCUUUCAGCAAAAGCAAAAUACACACAUACGAGAUAUAGAAUGGAUAUAAUGCAUUAAUCAGGAAAAAUCAAAGGUUUUUGUUAUGCAAGUAAGUUUGGUACACAAAUUGAGCACUUACAAUAUCAACAACAGCAGAACCAACAGACUUGAACACAGUUAACUCCUUGAAGCUCGUCCUUCCUAUCUUCUCAUCUGUGAUCAAAUCCACCAAUCUCCCACAAACAUCUCCUGGCAAAACAACUCCUCUUUCAAAAGCACCCACCAAUUCUCCAGCCUCAACCAAUGCAGCUUCGUUAUCAACAAACACUCUCCCUCUUCUAAUAGCCUCAUCAUCACAUUCCUUCAUGGAAGGCGUAAAUGAUCCCACCAAAUCCAAAUGAGCACCUUCCUUCAACUUCUCACCUUUCACCAUUGCAGUUUCAGAGCUCGUCGCACAACUUACAAUAUCUCCUAAUCCAAUAAUCUCCUCCAAAGUCUCCCCAUGUUCAAAACUAACAUUACCCAGUUCUUCUUCUUCUUCUUGCAAUUUCUUAACUAAAUUUCGAGCUUUAUCGAGAGUUCGAUUCCAAAUAAUAACUUUUGUCAAAUUGGGUCUAACUGAAAGAUGAGCUUUAAUAAGAUGAGAAGCUAAAGAACCAGCUCCAAUCAUAACAAGAACUUGAGAAUUUUCUCUAGAUAAAAACUUAGAAGCUAAAGCAGAAAUACAAGAAGUUCUCCAAAGAGUUAAUUCUGUUCCAUCCAUUAAAGCUAAUGUCUUUCCUGUAAUUGAAUCGAAAAGAAGAUAAGUUGCAUGAAUUCCAGGUAAAUUUCGAAAUGAAUUUUGAGGGAAAGAAGUUACAAUUUUAACACCAAUGUAAGGAAGAGAAGGAGAAAGAGACCAAGAUGGCAUUAGAAGAAGAGAAGAUGAUGAAGAAGUGUCAAGAGAAUGGUGUUGACGAUUUGGGGAUUGAAUUGUUGUGGAAACAGAAGGAAGAGUUGAUUGAAGAUGUUGAAUUAGAAUUGGGUAUUUGAAGAUUGAUUGUAAGGUGAGAUUAUUAAGGAAGAUUGGGUUUGAUUCAGUGUUUUGAGGGUUUUCUUCAUUUUCCGCCAUUAACACAGUUGCGAGAGUAAGCGAAAAGAGAGAGAGAGAGAGAGAGAGAGAGAUAAAAACUUGGGAUUUUAUAUAUACUGGAGAUACAAUCCUGGACUCAGGGAUACAAAUCGAUGGGCUCAGUGAGAUUACAGACUAAAAGUCAUACUGAGGCUGUUCUGACUUCUGUGCAUUAAUCAGAUUAUUGAAACCUUUCCUUGCAGUUGGAAUACUCUCCGCAGGCUCAUAAGGCUGGUGACAUAGCACCACUGAGUGUACUUCUGUAUGCGACACCGAGCAAUACUCUCCGUAUACUCCAGGGACGUCUCCCCAAAUUCAGACUGUUCAAAACAGUCUCUGGCUCGAAAGCCCUUUGCACACAAAUCAAUCCAUUCAUUCAAAUUGAAUGCAUCUUAACCAAUACGCAUAAAUUUCAAAAUAUGCAAUCUCACAUUUAGCAUGAAAAUUAUACAUGCAUAAUAUCACCAAUAAUCUAAUAAUUCAUUGCAGCGUCAAUUAGGAUUUAGACAAUCAAUAUCAUGUUAAAUCAAAUAAACACUCUAACAUGCUUUCCUAUCAAUUUUCCAAUAAUAACCAAAUAAUGAUAUUAAUUUCAUGAAAUCAAAAUCAAACAAAUUCAAUUAAUAUGCAUAGCCGAAAUUGUAGUAUAACAAUAGCAUACUAUUACACCCACUAACUUCAUCUAUCUCCUAAAAGCAAGAAAAGAUAUCAAAUAAUGUAACUUACCUUAUCUUUCGCGAAGAAAAUAGCUAUGAUACUCGUCUACUAAAACAAAUCACAAGCUACAUGUCCCAAGCAUAGAAUUCCAAGUUUCCUACUAACUUUCUUAUACUUAUCUCCUUUUUAUAAAUUUUUAUUUGAUCUGCACCUACACAGAUCUGUUUCCCUCUUCUACCAUUGUUAUAUAGUGUGAACACACAAAGUUAAUAGCAAAUCGGUUUCAAUCGAGCAGCAAGUCGGUUUCUUUUUCUUUCUUAUCAUAUGGUGCGAACAGAAACUGGUUAAUCCUAGUGGGCUUAUCAGUUACCCAGGCCCACAUACUAAAUCAACAGUGUGCUGCCACCUAAACUACCCAGGCCCACAUACUAAUUAACCUAGGCCCACAAUCAAAACAAUACACCCUGAAUCAUUUCACAACAUAUAAAGCAGCAAGGUAUUACACGUCAUUAUUUUACAAGUAGCUGUCUACCUAAACUUUAACUGCCAAAAUUCAAAAAAAUUUAUAUGUGUAGCUUACUUGUACGUGGGUGUGUACACCCAAUCAUAUGACGCCACGUGUCUAUAAAGUGGUUGGGUAACUGAUAAGCCCACUAGGAUUAACUAAACCUUAUAUUAUUAUUGCCACAUGGCGUUUUGUGAUUGGGUGUACACACCCACAUGCAAGUAGGCUACACAUAUAAAAUUCUCUGGCCAAAAUUAAAGUGUCUUUUGUAAAAAAAAAAUUAACUAGGCCUGCUAAAAUGCAAGUACAUAAAAUUAAAAAAAAAUCGAAACUAAAAGAUCAAACAAGGCAAAACUAGUACUGCAGAGAACCAGACAAAUAAAAAAAAUUGCCCACCUCAUAGCAGUGCAUUAAUGUGCUUCUAAAUUCUGAUACUUCCUUUAUUUCAUGUGAAUUCCCCUUGUUUACACCAAUGGAACAGCUAUUUACUGAGUAUAUUAUGAUUACGAUGAAAGGCAGAAUGAACAAGAGCAGAAGUGAUUUGUAAAGACCUUUUUCAUUUAGCCGUAUAUCCUAAAAUGAUCAUUAUGUUCUCCUUCAAUCAAAACUCAUGAGAACAAAUGAGUUCAUCCAAAACAGAUAUCCAGUCAAGUAGGCAGGUUACUGCUUGAGAAGUCAGAAGGCUAUGAAAUGCUUUCAGAAUCCUUUUACAUCAAAGCUUUCAAGGAUCCCUCCUCCAAACUAACCAAGCAAGAAUCUGAAUAUAUCACUCAGUGAAAUGAUGCCUUCAACUCGCUUGCUACCAGCCUCCCCGAUGAUAAGCCGUCUCACCCCUGAAAAAUCAAAAGUGGUCCAACAAAAUCAGUGACUAUCAAGUUAUACACUAAUUCAACAAAAAGGGCAAAAAAUACACAGCUUUACCUGGAUUAGCCAAUUUUUCCAUCACCUUGUGCAGAGAAUCAGAUCGCAGACACAUUUGACAUCGUUGUCCAUUAAAGAAGCUAUGAGGAGAAUUUGCAUCUUGUCCCAGCUGUAAUGCCUUGAAAAUAUAUAAAAAAAAAAAGGCUGGUUGAGCACUACUUACCCUGGACAAUCACGCAUAAGAUACAUACACAUGCAAAAUGGGAUGAAUAUAUGAGGUGCAAAAUCAAAUUGGCCUGGAUGUGCAAUUCUCCAAUAAAAACGUUCAUUUGCAAUGAUGCAACCUCCAAACAAUUAGUUCAUUUAAAAUCCUGGUCACGACAGGAUAUAAACUGCAUACGUAUACGCAGUGAGGCUUAUCAAAACAAUGUAUAUAAUAAACUAAUACAAAGUUCAUAGGACAGGAACGUUUAAAGGUUUUCUUGAUGCUACACAUACUGUACAAGGAAAUAUUUAGAUGAGAAAACAGAUACACUAUGAUCCAUGGAAUUGUAUACUUAACAGUCAAACAUGUUUUAUCAUUUGUAUUCUGGAAAAUUAAGCUAAUGCUGAGGAAGAAAAUGUAAGAACAGGUGGACAUGAAGCUAUCUGCAACUACUUCCUAAGAUUUCAGACUUUUAGCUUUAGCUACCUCAAUUUCCAAUUCACAACUUCCAAAAGGACUGUGCCAUCAAAGAGAGAGAGAGAGUGGGUGGUGAAUAAUCAUAUAUUAGAAUCUCAAUCUCUAAACAUACUUCAUAUCUUUACCGCCAAAGAUUUACUUGAAUUUAAACUCAAAACAAAAAAGCUGUAAAAAGUACCUGGUGUAUACUUAUUUCAUCUAGGUGAAUCUGUGCAUAUGCUCUAUCUUUAGCCAAAGCUGCGAUAUCACUGUCAAAUAUAUAAUAGAUUACUACCCCUCACCUAAAAAGCCGCGCUAAUUCAUACCACUAAAAAAAAAGUACCUUCGAGAUUAUAUAUCCAAUAAUGAGCCAUUAUCAUCCACUAUUGGUAUUGAGCUAACUUCAGCUGCAAAUACAAAAAGGUCAACAUAGAAUAUGGUUGGAGAGGUUUUACUCCAGCAGCAAUCUAUUAUACUCUAUUAAAGCAGAAAAUACCCCUACAAAAUAUAUCUUCAAUUAGACUAUCAAUCAGACUUAAAUUGAUAGCCUAAUUAAAGAGAAUUUCAUUCAAUUUUGGGUAUAUUUGUAAUUGUAAAAAACAUAACUUUUUCACUUAUUCGCCUUCCUCUUCUCUCAAUGUCUCAAUAACGAUUGUCGAACUAAACCAUUAUUUCAAGUGCAAACAUCUUUUACUAUCACCAAUAAUCUUAGGAGCUAAUUUCUCUUCUAGAGAAAAAAAAUACAUAUGUAAAAAAAAAAAAAAAAAGGGGGAAGAACUCAUUUUUAGGUUACAAACUGGAGAUUUUUGUUGUCAUGUUUGCUAUUAAAACACAAUAUUGUUAUACCAAUCCUACACACGCGUGAUGCAUUUUUUUCCUUACUCUUCAUGGUUUUAAGAUGAUUUCUUGGAGUCUUACUAUUAUGCUUUAUAUGGUUUUCUUUUGAUAGAAUCAUUCUUGGAGUCUUACUAUUAUGCUUUAUAUGGUUUUCUUUUGAUAGAAUCACGAUUCUGUCAUUGGUGUCGGUAGCUUUAGAUUGGUCUGACAUGCAAAAACCCCAUAUCACAUAUUUGGCAAUAUGACUGGAUGUUAAAAUUAAUAUGAUUUUGAAAACUGUGAGUACUUAAUUAUCUGUGUGUAUUUUGAUUUUGGUAAAAUGAUCAAAAAAUACAACGUACUUUCACUUUUUUUUCACUUUAUACAAUGUACUAAAAAUCACGCCAAAACAUCAAUGUACUUUGAAAAAAAAUUCACGUUAUACAAUCUGUUUAAAACUAGCUAACGGACUGCAGACGUGGCUAAAAAUUAUCUACGUGUGUUUUUUCUUUUAAAAUAAAACGCUGAGUUGUAAAACUAAAAUCAGCCCAUCUACUUUAGAACGUGUCAUCAGAUCAUGUCGACACAUGUUUAAAUCUAAACCGUCCAUUAAUCCCGCCCAAAGUUCGCGCCAAGAUGUUAGAGAUUGUUGGUUUGCAUCUUGGAACCAUUUUUUAUCUUAGUACUGAUUGUUGGUUCAGCAAAUGGAUUUUCAUACUUCUGUUGAAAAUUGGAAGGGAAUCUAAUGGUUGCUACAUACUACCCAAGUUAUGAAACAUACCAUGUAAAAUUAGAAAAAUUUGAUCAUCUGAUAAUCUUCCUUGAGAAAAUGGCAACCACUUAUAUUACAUUAAGGCAAGAAGUUAGUGGGCAAGAAGAAGGCAGGACCAUAGAAGGGUUCACUGGUUCUAUGUUCGUAUGAUCUUUUUUCUGUCCUUAACUGAUUCAUGAUUCUAUUUGUUAGCACCCACUUUCGCAUUUUCAGACACCUUUUCACCACAAACCCACUUUCUCUGCCAACUACAUGAAUUCCACUCAAUUUCAUGGAUUCUGACAAAAAAGAUUUCCUGCAACAAGGCAGUAAUGGAGUUCUACAUUUUGAGCUUUCUUUUAUAUUUUCUCUUCUUCAGCACACUAUUUCUUCAAAGGUUAGUUUCUUUCUCUAGUUCUCUUCAACUAUUUCAUAGUUUUGUCUGUUUCAAGAGAUUUCUUGAAAUUUUUUGAAAGGGAUUUGAAUUAGGGAUUUAAAGAUGAUGAAGAAUUAAAAGUGAGAAGAAUUGGGGAUUUGAAUUAGGGAUUUACAGAUUUGUUGAAUUGAAUUGUUCAAAUAGGGAAGGAGUCAAUCACAUGAGAAACAUGUGCCUCAUUUUGAUGUGUUGGAAAUGUUUUUUAACUUUAUUUUAAAAGAAAAAAUACACGUAGAUAAUUAUUAGCCACGUCUGCAGUCCGUUAGCUAGUUUUAGACAGAUUGUAUAACGUGAAAUUUUUUUCAAAGUACAUUGAUGUUUUGGCGUGAUUUUUAGUACAUUGUAUAAAGUGGAAAAAAAAGUGAAAGUACGUUGUAUUUUUUGAUCAUUUUGAUUUUCACUUUUGACAUUAUGUUGCACCAAUGUAAGUUCAGAGUUUAUUUGACAUUAACAGACAGUGCUCUAUCAAUUCUCAAUUUAUGCAAUGGCUCAAGGGUAAGAGAUUCAGGAUCACUAUAACUGCUUAGAAUCUUAAUGCUAGCUGCUUCUAUUGGUCUAAAUAGCAUUCAGAGGUUCUACACGUACAAAGUUCACUAUACAUUUUCAAUCAACUUGAUCUUCAGUUACCUACUUCUAUACAAAUAUAAAGAAAUUGAGGUUAGGCUUUCAAACUUAAUAAUUUCUGUUUUAAUUGCCUGUGUAUAUGUAUCAUUGAGAAUAAAUACAAGAAGAACAGGUAGAUUUAUCAAGCUUGGAAAUUCAAAUUGAUAUGUUUUAUUUCUGUUUUCCCUUUGGGCUCCCCAUGAAUACCAGUUUCUUCCUGAGCAACUCAGUGUGAGAUUUGAAUAUGGCAGAGGUGAUACAUCCCACUAUUAUAAUUCAAGCACCGAGGUUCCAAGUGGAAGGGUUUCAUCGUAUUCUAUUGGGGCUCCAUAUCUUCAUGAAAAAAGAACCGCCGAUAGCAGAUUAUGGUUUCCAAGGUCAAUUGCCGAGUGGAAGUUAUCCUCAGCCAGGGAGAGCAUGCCAUGUAUUUUCUUUAUCUUCAGGAGAGUAUGAAAGUCCACACAGAAGCCCUUUUACAAACAUGGUAAUGGAAUCUUAGGUUGCUUCUCAGUUCUCACCCUGCUGUUGGAAUAGAAGAUCGGUUUCAACUAAUGUUUGAUAAAUGCUGUAGUGGGAUCAAAUUGAUCACACAAUAACUAACACCAAAAGAACCCGACCAGUAUCAGAAUUUAUAUUAGACACCAAUACACCAUGGCAAUAACAGCCACAACCAUACCAGUUACCACCCACACCAUGGCAAUGUCACAUAGUCAUCACGCACACCAUAUUCAUAACAUCGAGUCUUCACAUUAAUUCAUUAUAGCCGAGCUUCUUAACUUGCAAAACGGAAAGCUUGCAUAAUGUCUCAGUAUUUCUGCUAUUUGAAGUGUAUUUUACCCCUGAAAUUUUUGAACUUUUGGAAUCAACGUAUUGAAACAAAAACUUAUUUUAAUGAGCAGAUUCAAUGUUAUAUUUCAACAAAGAAGAUCUUCGUUUAUUUGUUAAGAUGUCUUAUUUACUUUUGGGUUAAACUUUACAUUGAUUAAAACUUAGAUCAAAAUUCAAUGAUGGCAGUCAAAAUUUGAACUCUGCAGAGAAAAAUGUUAGGAUGCAUGACAGGUUGUCUUCAUUUUGCAGUGUACCUUUUGAAAUUUUUUACCACAAUUCGCACGUCAAAUUCAGAUUUUCAAGUUAGUCAAUAAGAGCAAAUCUCAUAAAAAUCAUCCCAAGUCAUCCCAAGUCGAAUGUUGGCCAGCCUCCACCAAGGUGAUUCAACAUUCUACAUUUGUUUCCAAAGAAGUUUUCUUAAAACAGGAAAUCAUCUUGCAUUCAUUAAGAAAUCUAUAAUUCAGAUAUAAUAUUCCAUUAACAACCAAGAACUGGAGAUAUUCAUGCUUUAAUAACUCAAAACACCUAAGAAACGUAGAAAAUAUGCAAAAACCAAGAACCUGAGGUAUGAAUUUUGAAACAAUACUAGCUUUUGAGCCCGUCCGUUGGACGGGAUGCUUGAAAUAGUAAAUGGGUUAAUACAGUAUAGAUAAAUAUUUAUUUAUUUAUUUCACUUCAUAAUUGAAAGUUUUUCUUUUUUAUCAUUAUGCUCAUUAAAAACUUGUUGCAACUAUUAAAAAUUUAAAAGCAAUGGAAGCACUAUAAUUUCAUUAUUCUAGCAUGACUACUAUGAGUUGUAUCAGUAAAAUAGAAAAGCUAACAUAAUAAUGAUACACACCUAAAGACAGAGAGUAACUAAACAGCAAAGUAAAGCUCUUUAUGAUCAAUUCCCUCUGUAAUAGUUGCACCACUACCUUAGGUGCCAGUAACUCAGUAAUGGAUGGUCUUUUAUUUGCAACAAUAGAGAUACGAAAAGAGACAACAUUGUGCAGUUUAUUCUACACCAUUACAAAUUACAUAAGCUUCAGGUUAUCCUUCUCUAGUGGCUAUGACAGUACAACUUUGAGAAGCUAGUGGAGUUGGAGAAACAUAUUGAAUUAUGUUUACUCGUCUUGUGAUGCUUUCAAGGACAUCAUCAAGUCUCAAAUGGUCUUGAUGCGCUACCAAAGAUCUCGGCAGCUUAGCCAAUGAGAGAUGAAUUAUGUUUUCGAGAAAAAAAAAGACUUUCAGAUUAACACCAAGUAAGUAAUAAUUCCCAAAUAUUAUUUAUUUGUUUAUUUAUCAAAUUAAGAUUAUCAUUCAUGUGGUCAGCAUGCUUAAACGCACAGCCAGGUUAUUGCAUCCCAAAGCAACAAACAUUAAAGUCAUACAUACACUAUAAGUUCUAGUAUGCGGUUAUGCGCUGUCCGUGAAGCUUGAAAGAAGUCCCCCUGAUGCUCCAGUAUCUGGACAGGCUUCUACAGUCCUGUUGCUGCUGAUCUCAGCCCCCUCCCUGUAUUAGUCUUCUCUGUGUUUGCCGAAAUUCUCCAUUGGUGUUUGCUGUUACAGUUAUACACAAACUGAUCCAGUCAUCCAUUUAUUCAGAGAAUAUAUAGGACUUCUUGAGGUCCAUAUCUCUAUGAGUCAUAACCAGUCCCAAAGAAAGCUUUUCACCCUGAUAAUGACUCUCCAUUGUUGAAAUAUUUUCAUUUCUGACUCUCCAUACUGUCCACAGCCUCGCAUAAGGUAACAAAGGCCAAAACAUCGCUGUUAGCCCCCUAUUGUUAAGUUCACACCAGUAUUGCAGGGGCCCUUUCACAUUAUCAUAGUUGACAGCCUAAUCAAACCUUGUCAAAUGAGCAAUAAAUUUCCUCCAAAUUUGCACAGUAAUGGGGCAUGAGAUAAACAAAUGUGAAAUUAAGAUAAGUUAAAGAGUGUGUGAAAUAGAUAAAAUAAACAGAACAUACAACACCUUGGAGUGAAAUUACGCAGUACUUUUAAGUCUAAAAUUAACAAUAUUCGAAGUAAAACAUUAAAAUAUUCACAAAUGCUCCCAAGUACCCUCACAGUGGAGUUUUAAAUGCUCGCAUUCUAUUUUUUAAGAGAUAACAUUCAUAAAUGCUCCAUUAUUGUAUUCCGAUCCUCAACCAUCAUAUCCUAGACUGCAAGUAGUGAAUUUAAAUUGUAAAUGAUGUUCUAAAAGUGUGCUUCAACAUUCCUUAAUUUUGCCUUUAACUAAUACAAAAUGAUGCAAAUGGUGUUUAAAUCAUGUAUAGUUCAUCAUAAACUGACAUGUAGCAGUGUGAUAUAAACUGACAUAGUGACAUGUAGUAGUGCGAUAAUAUUCCAAGAAUUUGGAUUACAAUAAGUGAAGGGAUAAAGAAAGAGAGAAAUGGGAAGAGCAACCCAAUGACCCAAACUGCUUGUUACACCAACUAUUGUAUUCAUCAAUCUGGAUAGAGAGAGUCAGAGAGACAUAUAGGAGUAAAUAUUUUCGAUAUGUGCCUAUGUAACUAUGUUUCUUUGAGUCUUAAAUAUACAAUAAAAAAUGACUUGUUGUUAUGAAAAAAUAAUCAAAUUAAAUGCAUAAAAUUAAAAACAAAAUUCCAUAUGAUUAAUGGUUUACAAUUUUAAACCCGGACUCUUAGAAGGAUAUUUUCACACAUUACAAUCCAGUUAAAAAUGGUUACAUCAGGAAUUCAACAGUGAUUGUGAUCAAAGAAAAAACAGAAGAAGAGAGUGAUACAUACCUUUUAAAAUCUGAAGUGCCUACGAUUUCGCGAGGGAGGAGAGGGAAAAACCAGAGAAAAAAAAAGAAGGGAUUCAACAAUUGGUUUCCUUUCCUUAUAUAUAAACCAAAAAAAGGUUAGAAACAAUCUAAACAAUAUGCAUCUUUUCGUGAUAGAUUUCUCGAAUCGGUGUGGUUGCAUAACUGCCGAUCUAAAAGACAAUAAUACUUUUUGAUGCCAGGGACAAUAAAAUAGAAUUUUCUAUACAAAACAGGGUUAAACUUGGAAAUCUACUCAUAUUUUGCUGAUGUGGCUACUGGAUUCUGUAAUAGUCUGUAAGAAUUUUUUGCCCUUGGGUGUUGCGCUUUAUAUUAAAGGAAGAAUAUUGAAACAAAUUAUUAGACAUUACAAAGUACAAACCAAAAGCAACAUGAAACCCACAACAAAGGCCCAAAGUUAAUAAGAUCCAUCCCGUACAUUGCACGGGCCUAAGGACUAGUUACUAGUAUAAGUCUUAAACCGAUCCUACUUCUAAUUGCUAUUAUCGGGUAGAAUUAUUUUUCAUCUUUCUCGAUAAAUUCUAAUUUCAAGAUAUCAAUCAAAGCCAUAGUAGAACUGAGAUGAUCUACAUACAAAGCAAGGCCAUAGUAAAAGGUGAAGUUUGAUAAAAUAAGUGGAAUUAGAAGGGGGCUGUGGUUGGAUGAGAUAAGUCUGCUGCAGAAUUAAAUAAAACUUUGGGCAGUACAUUUGAUUUGACAUCAUCGUGAGUUUGUGACAGCUUACAUAAUACAAGAGACAUAUAUAAAGUUUAUUAACAUGGUCAUAGAAUUAGCAUUUUCGAUUAAGUAAUGGUCAAAUAAACUUAUAAAUAAAUCAUUUUUGGUCAUACCCCAUUUGAAAGUCGAAAUUUGAGAUACCCUAUUUGAAAAAAAAAAAUUGAGAUACCCCCAAUUCAAGAUAGAAGAGUUUUACGACCGUAGGUGAGUUUUAUGAUGGACGGGUAAAACAUCUACAUGAGAUAUUCAUACAGUAUGAUGAUAAAUGACAUGAUGUAUUAUUUCAAAUGCUCUUAAUUAUAGUACUGAAACGUUUUAUAAUACUAACAUGAAUGCUUACUAGCAGUGGUGUAUAUCAUCCAGCUGUUUAUAUUGAUUACUGAGGAAACUUGUAUGCUUUAUUUUAAAAAUUAAAUAACAUAGUGCUGUUCAUUAUGUUACUGUGGUGGUUCUCUUUCUCUAAUUUGAUGAAUAUAAUUUGGCUCUUGACAUUGUAGGACAUGGAAUUCGGGUCUUCAAAUGAUGACAUUCGAAUUGAAGUCCUAUCUCGAGUACCAGUCAAAUCUCUCCUUACAUCUAAGUGUGUCUCCAAACGGUGGCAAGGCAUUAUUUCUGAAACUUCGUUUCAAAGACUUCAUUGUCAAAGGACAAAACCUGUUAUCUCCGGGUUCUUCUAACAAGAUAUGUUUGAUGAGAUGCAACAUGUCAAGUAUGUUUCCAUUUGUAACGACCAAGUCACUGUGCAGAACACAAUCCUGAAUUUCAUUCCUCAUAAUUUCCGUCUUAUUGCCUCAAGCAAUGGGCUUAUUUGUUGUCGUAACUUUGGGAUUGGUGCGCAAUUUGUUUUCAUUUGCAACCCAUUGAAAAGGGAAUUCCUCCAAAUAAAGGGGCCAAAGGGUAUUAAUGGACGUAGACUCAGAGGCCAUGGGUUUGUUUUUGACCCACUGUGUUAUUCUUUGGAUGGGACUCCUAGCUUUAAGAUAGUUAGCGUCAGUAAGAAAAAGGGUUUUGUCUUCUCUUUCCACAUUUACUCAUCUAAGGUAAGGGAGUGGAGAUUAUCGGAGGAGAUCUAUUAUGAUGACUGUGAUUUGUCUCUUGGUGGCCGGGGAAUUUUUGCUGGCGGAGUGUUUUACUGGUUAACUGGUGGGAAUGUAGUCAUGGCAUUUGAUUUAGAAAAGGGCAAGUCCAAGUGCAUAGAUUUACCAGUUCCCAGGAUACAGCGAAAUGAGGGCCUUUGUGAAAUGUGCAUUGGGGAGUCUGAAGGCUGUUUUUACUAUAUUCUAAUUACUGAUGCUGAUCUUCGAGUCUGGGCUCUGAAUAGUGAACACAGGUGGUUACUUAAGCACUCAAUAUCCUUGACAGCAAUUUAGGAACAGCACCCAAAUCUCCUGUAUAAGGAAGGAACAAUUGCGUCAGGAAUAGUUGUGGGUGGAUUAAUAUUGCCAACAUGGAUUGAACCUAUAGCUUUCAAGGAUGGAAAUUUGCUUGUGAAGUUGCGUUGCCGUUUCAACUAUGAACGUGGAGGCCUUGAAGUUUGCACCAAGAUAUACUUGUAUAACUUGGAUGCUGGAACAAUGAAGGAACUCUGCGUCCUUGAGGAAUUGGGACUCCCCGUUGGUUAUUUAAGAACAAUUCCUUAUUGCAUGAGUUUUGCACCAUUGCUAUCUACUUAGGUAGCAGAGGAAGUUACUAUCUGGAACUUUCAGCAGACUGUGCUCGAAGACGGUGAAGAAAUCAGCAAUUCCAUCGUUUAUCAGCAAUACUGUUGAAGUACCUAGUUGGGUGUAUGUUAAAUAAGGUGUGUUAAGAGGGAACUUGUGCACUUGUGUGCAAGGGUCUUCAUUCUGUUUGUUUUUCUUUGUUGUCCUUAAUGUACUAGAUAUUUACCAUGGUUAAAUAAGAGAUCUGUAACUCAUCUCUUUCAAGGCAAGUGCUAUACUCAUCUCUUUCAAGGCAAGUGCUAGAUUUUUAACUCAUCUCUUAAUGCCAAUGUUUUCAUGUUUAAAGAUCUUGGGAUAUCCACACUAUUAAAAUCCAGCAAAGGGUAAAAAAGAGUACAUGAUCCUACCUACAAAUGUGCUCCAAAUGCUGCAACAGGCUAAUGUCGGCUUCACAGGUGUAAAUAACCUUGAGACAGAUGGCCUGAAUCUGAUGAUAAUCAUAUGAUGGUGGGAACUGGGAACUGGGAAGGAACAACUGUUUGAAGCCUUUGUUGGUACAGAAGCUAGAGAUCAAAAUGUCAAAUAUGGUCGGGUCGGGUCAGUACCGGUUCUGUUUCAUCAAUUUCGGGUUAAUGGUUGUUCAUUCGGAUUUCGGAUUUACAAUGGGCUUAAUUCUUUUGAUUAUGCGCUUCAGUAAAUGCCCAACUACAUUAACGGGCUCAAGCAACGUUAAAAGCCCUAAAAGUUUUGUGAUUGGCGCGCUCGAUUUCAAUGAAAAGACGAUGGCGUCGAAAGAGGGGUUAGGGUUUCAAACUCAUGGAACUUGUGACUGAAGCAAGUAAUGUUCUUGAUCAAUUUCUCCAUGUUAAUCUGACUAAAAUUGCUAGGUUCUAUGAAGUUGUUAAAAACAGAAUUAUCAAGUCAUUUAUCAAUUAUCAUUAGAACUAAAUUGUAAUUGAUUUAGGGAAAGGGAAAUUAACAAAGUUAAUUAAUGUAUCAUUGCUGUUAAGUAAUGAUCAGUUAGAUAUGUCGUUUUUCGUAUAUUAUACUAAUUUGAAAAUAUAAAUAAAAAAAAAUGUGACAAUUUUCUUUUCUCUCCAUCACAUGUCACUAUUAUUAUUAAUUGCCACAUGUUAAUUGUUUUCCCCCCUCAAAUCAAUAGUCAUGCUCAUUUAAUUUUAUAGCAGUGUGUUUUGUACAUGUUACUUAAGUUGGGCAUGCUUCUUGACAUCUUGUACAUGUGCAUAUGCGUGUGUGCGCUUAUACGUGUGUUUACACGUCCGUAUGAGUGCUUGCCAAGCUUGUAUGUAGUUGAGAACUGUUAUUUUAUUAAUCAAUCUCCUUGAUUUUCAACAAGUUUCUUAGGGGGAGGGGGGAGGAGUACAAUGCAAAAUAGCUCAUGGAUAGGUUAAUCCCUGGUACAGAAAUGUGAUGGGCACUUACGUACAAUUUUGCAGAUUGUGUGGAAGAUUAAUAUCCAAUAUAGGCAGAUAGACUAUCUAUGACAAGAAUACGGCACCACACUUGAUACGAUUUUAUGGUCUUAAUAUACAAAUUGAAGUAUGUUGUAGACUUGUAGUUCUAAAUAUAUUUGAAUUUCACUUUUUUUCUUACAAAUAACUUUUUUAUGGCAGGAUGCACAUUACAUUGUCUGAACUUCCCGAGCCUUCAACAAUCAAGUAUGAUCUUUACCAUUGUAUUGCGACAAAGACAGCCAUAGACAAAAAAAUAAAUAAAAAGACAAUGGUAGCUGUGCAUUUUGACUUGUAAGUUAUAACUUAUAACUUAAUGUUGAGCCUUUACAUUAUAUGGAUAUUGUGUCCUGGGUCACACACUUUUAAUACAAUCAAUAUAUUCUUACGAUUAUCACUAGGAUCAUAAAAGAUGUGAUGGUUUGUAUUUUAUCAACUUCACCAGGUGUAUGUAAUCCUCGUAGGAGUGUUCAUGAUUACCCUGUUACUGAAACUAAAUCAAAACCAGUUUUGAUAAAUGAAUCGAUGUUUAUGACUCCAAUUUUUAGGAACUAGGCACGUAAGAGUUGAUAAUUGAUUGUAACCAUUAGUCAUGGUUCUGGUGAAUCCUUGUCUAAAGCACGUUGAUGUAUAACAAGGAUAAAUAUCAGAUAUCUGUUGCAAAAUGUCCUUAAAAAUAGUUACGAGUGGUGACUCGGCAAAAAUAUUGUAAAGUGCCGUGGAGAAAUCAUGAAGAGAUUUCAUUAUAUAAAAAAUAUCAGAUGUGUCCAAAAUCAAUAUAUAGAUUGCGAGAUUUUCACCGCUGUUGGCAGAUGGAUUUUGUUCAAAUCUCGCAAAGAUUUGAAAUCUGGUUAUACAACCAAAUGCCAUUAAUAUGACAACUGCACUAAAGCUAUUGGCACUUUGGCAGUACCUUGGAGUCAUCCAAAAAUUUUCUAUAAAUUCACCUCACCUCCCUUCAUUUCUUUUCACUUGAGUAAAACACAGUAGUGACUGUUCUGUUGAGCUCUGUCUGCAACACCAAACGAGCGUAAGCAUUCUGCCCUCUCUCUCAAGCUUAUCCUUUUUUGCCUACAAUUUGUUUUUCUCACUGUAUUUGUGAUAUAUUCAAAAGUUACUUGAACAUUCAAUUCAGAAGCAAUUUUUUUGUUAUUAUAAUUGACAGAAUUGCUAUGAUUUUUAGGAAAAAAAAAAAGAAGAAGAAAUGCAUUGAUUGUUCAGGAAUAGUGACAUUAAGUCUUGCAAGUAAUCAUAUUGGUCAUGGUUCUAGUUGUAGGAUUAUGUGAACAAAAUUAAUGAAUUCAACUGGAACUUCCUAUUUGUUAUUGCUGAAUUCUAGCUUUUCUCCUGCCCCGUAUUAACUACUAACAAAUUUGGGCUACAAUAGCUUAUAAGCAGCUUUUCACAACCUUAAACAUAGCGAAUUUCUAUCUUUAUCAAAUAGAGAGAUAGGAUGUAUACUAUUUUGUGCCUCAAAAGCAUCCAUCAUUCCAUCUUGAGGCUUAUGUCUUCAUGGAGUACACAUUCUCAGAAUAAUCAUCAUUUUGGUUAGUUUGUAGUAUUGUACAUACAUUUUGGGUUAUCAAUCAUGUAAUAAACAUGUUACCUUGAAGUCUUGAACUUUAUCUUUUACACUAAAUACUUCUACAUGAGUUAUUUUAGUUCUACAUGUUCUUUCUUAUAUUCGUUUUGAUUGAGCUACUUAUAUAUCUUUUAUGGGAAGAAAUCAAUAGUAAUUAUUACGAUUUUGUAAUUAUUUACUUACUGAGUGUAUAUAAUUUGAAUAUUGACAUUUUUAGGAGAUGGAAUUUGGGUCAUCGAGUAAUGACGGUCCAAUUAAGUGUGUCUCCAAGCGAUGGCAAGAAAUUAUUUCUGAUACUUUUGUUCCAAGACUUCAAUGUCUGAGUACAAAACCUCUCUUAUCCGGGUUCUUGUUCCAGGAUGUGCUUGAUGAGUCUAACGAAGUCAAGUACAUUCCCUUUAGUAAUGAUGAAGACAUUGUGCAAAACUCAGUCUUGGAUUUCAUACCUGAGCACAUUCGUCUUAUUGCCUCAAGCAAUGGGCCUCUUUGCUGUCUUAAGUUUGGUGUUGAUGAUGAAGUUGUUUUCAUUUGCAACCCCAUUAAACAGAAAUGUUUCCGACUAGAGGUGCCCAAAGGUAAUGAUAGAAUUGAAGGCCUUGCCUUUAUUUUCAACCCAUUCUGCAAUUCUAUGGACAAGUCCCCAAGUUUCAAACUUGUUAGCAUCACUAGAAAGGGGGAUUUCGAAUUCUCUUUCCACAUUUACUCCUCUGAAAUAGGGGAAUGGAGAAAUUUGGAGAACAACUGCUACUGUGACUUGGAUUUAUCUUGUUAUGGCCGUGGGGUUUUUGCUGGUGGCAUCUUUUACUGGAUGACUCAAGGAAACAUAAUAAUUGCAUUUGAUGUAGAAAAGGAGCAGUCACAGUGCAUUACUUUACCACUUCCUAGGAUACCACCAGACGAGGGACUUUGUGAAGUGUGCAUUGGGGAGUCUGAAGACUGUCUUCACUAUAUUAUUAUUGCUAGGGCUGCUCUUCAAGUUUGGGUCCUGAGUUGCGAUCACAAGUGGUCACAUAAGCACUUGAUAUCUUUAGCCAAAAUGGAGGAAGAGUACCCAUAUUUCCUCUAUAUUGAAGGGAAAAUAUCUGCAGUUAUGGAUGUGGGCGGAGUAAUUUUGCCAACAUGGAUUGAACCUAUAGCAUUCAAGGAUGGAUUUUUGCUUAUAAAGUUACGUUGCCAUUUCAGCUGCACCCUGAUAUACAUGUACAACCCUGAUGUUGGAACAAUGGAGACACUAAUCACCCUUGAGGAAAUGGGGCUCCCUGUUGGUUACUUAAGGACGCUUCCUUAUUGCAUGAGUUUGGCACCUAUGCAAUCAAAAGACAUUUUAUUGAUAAGCUCAAAGAAUUACACGAAAGUAGAGGACAAAUUUAUUUAUAAAUAAAAGAGAUUUUGGCACUUACCCCCUCAUUUGAAAGUCGAAAUUUGCAUUCCCCCUCCCCAUUUGAAAAAAAUAUAACAGUUACACCCCCCCCCCCCCCAUUGGAUGGAAAAAAUAAACGGUGUUACAAAAAUUAAUUUUUGAAUUUUCAUAAAAUAAUAUAUUUUGAUAAUACCAAAAUUACCCUUCUUUAAACAUGUAAAUAAUAACACAUAAUUAGUAAACCCCCUACUGAAACAUACAUAAUUAACAAUACCCCCAAAUCGAUUUGCAAAAAAAUUUGAAGGAGAAGAUGAAUUUUUAGGAAAGAAAAAGAAAUUUGUUUGAGAAAUUUGUUAAAAAUAAUAGUAGAUACGUGUUUCCCUCAAUCACCCAUACUUUUUUUCUAAUUGUUAGCUUUAAAUUUAAAGAACUAAAAUUUAUUUGAGAAAAGUUAGGUUUAUUUAUAAACUUUUGGGAAUUUUGGAUUUUUGGGGAAGACAACAAAGUUGACAGUUAGAUUAAGUACGAAAUAGAUGGGAUAAGAUUAUGACAGAUAUCGUUAUUAUCAGAAUAAAAAAGGUAUUAUUGGUAUUAUUAAAAUAUUUUAUAUAUUUUAAAAAAAUUCAAAAAUUGAUUUUUGUAACAUCGUCUCUUUUUUUCCGUCCAAUUGGGGUAACUGAUAUAUUUUUUCAAAUGGGGUAACUGCUAUAAAACCCUCGGUGUAAAUUUACACAACAUAAAAGCUCACUAUUUCCGACCAAAAAAAACAAAAAAACAAUCCAAUAGUGAGGAUCUAUAUUCCAAAUGUUAAUUGGAGUUACUAGUCUUGUAGCCCAUAGAAGGGAUGCUUUUUUUGUUUAGGCUUCAUUAUUUUGGUCUGUCAGCAGUCAGUAGUUCCAUGUUAGAAGUUAGAACUUCAAAUACUCACGGUUUCCAGUGUAAGCCUAAAUUUAAGUAUUUAACUACGAUUACUGAGAUGUAUGUUGAAAAGAAAACCAUCUCUUACUUCGAAGAAUUCUUCUUCAAAACAUCAUCACAUUUAUAUUAAUAAAAAAGAAUACCGAAUGAACUGGACACUGACAUAUAUUACGAAAUUUAUUAUGUUAUGAUACGUGCAAAUGGAGAUUUGUAUGUCUUACAUAUGAAGCAUUGGUGGCAUGUCUCCAUCUAUAUCAGAACCAAUAUAUGAUGACACAGUCGCUAACUGGUAGCUCUUUCAUUAUGUGUUUGUGCAGAACUUUGAGGAGAAUUUGUCUCUUGGAUAAACCUGAAGUUCUUUCUCUGAGCUUCAGUUUAUAGGUGUUGAAAGAUUCGUCUCCAUCUUUUAUUCUCUUCAGUUUAUAGGUGUUGAAAGAUUCGUCUCCAUCUUUUAGCCUAGACUUUCUUCUUUCUUGAUAUAUAACAAAUUAUUUGAAAGUGAAAUCCAACAGAUACAUAAACUCUGGGCCAGUUGUCACUAAAGAGUAAUAGCAGACUAUAACUAUCAAUAGAGGUAACUAAUUCCCACAAUCUAUUCUUACUUGAUUGAGUAACGAUUCAGGUGGUUGCACUCCAUUUGAUUGCAUUUCAUACAAAAACUUGAUGGCCUCAUUGUAGAAUCCAUUUUGCGCGUAACCAGUUAGCAUUGCAUUCCAACACAGAUUGUUUGUUCUCUUCUCGUACCCCCUUGCCAUUUCAAACAAUUUUCUUGCAUCUUUCACCAUACCACAUUUACCAUACAUGUCAACCAAACUACAUUGAACAAACUGAUCCCAUUCAAUCCCAAGUUUGAUGGCAUUGCAAUGUACUUGCCUGCCACCCCGCCCAUCUCCCAUUCUCCCACAUGCCCUGAUAACACUUGACAAUGUGAAGUUGUUCUUCUCAGAACCUGAUCUUCCCAUCUCUUUAAAAACCUCAAGAACCUCCUUAAAAUGUUCCUCUCUACUAUACACGACAAUCAUAUUUGUCCACACCACAGUAUCGCGUAAUUCCACCUUGUCAAAGAUACAUCUUGCACUACUAAUGCAUCCAAGCUUUCCAAUAAAAUUAAUCAACAAGCUACCUAUAAAUAAAUCAUCCGAACAACCACCUCCUUUGUUAAAAAUCCUUUUAUCCAUCUUUAAUACCAAUCCAUGAAUUUGUGUUCCGAGUUCAAAAUCACCUGUCUGAAUACACGCUCGAAGAACACAAUCGACAAUCAAACCCCACAUUGAUGCGUCCUCAAGUAAUCCACAUUGCUCUUGUAUCAGUUUAAACAAAGUGAGUGUCUCAACAUGUUCCCCAUUAUCAAAAUGACCAACAAUCAUAGUCGCCCAUAUAAUAGAGUCCUUUAAAAGCAUUUUAUCAAACAGUUGGUGAGCAGAAUCCAAACGUCCACAAGAUACAUACAUAAGCAAUAAACGAUUUGCUAAUAGCAAUGUAGGUUGAUAUCCAUUUUGGGUCAUGUGAGAGUAAACUUAGGAACCACUUUCAGCAUCUCUUAAUUGGGUACAUUCUUUUAACAAGUAAGCAUAAACAUUUAAUGGAAUAGAUAAAUGUAGGCUAUCCAUUAGGCUUAAAAUGUCGCAAACACCCGCAUUGGCAUUACUACUACUGCUGCUACUAUUUUUAUUUUUAUUUUUGGUCUGAACGGGGUAUGUUGAUUUGAUGUGGACUGGUGGUGAUGGGUAGAAGGAGAUUUUGGGUUUCGGAGGAUGGUGCAAGGGUGGAAGAAAUUGAAGUGGACAAGGGUUUAUAAUAUGAGUAGGGUAAAUUGGUGAGAAGGUGGUGCUGAUAAUAAUUUCAUUCACCUCAAGUCCUCAACCCACACAGUCACACAGUCACACUCACACCAAAAAAGUUUCCAAACGGUAAUAGACUCAAGACUCAUGACAGCCACAAUUAAGAGAUAAGCAGGCAACUGGACGAUCAAAAUGUGUGAUAAAUAGACUUUUUAUGAGUCUAUGCUAAAAAAUGAGUGAUAAUCAGAAACCAGUUGGUCAGUUUUUGAAUCAAGUAAACCCCCAUCAACUUCUUCAUGGACAUAGCUUGGAUUUUUAGUAGACUUCAGCGACUUGCUCUACAUCAAAACAUUUUCUUUGUUAGAAAUGGCAUUUCUAAAAUCCAUUAUACUUGUGUUUAUUGUUUUCUGUUUUAUAGAAACAAUUCAAUUCGGUUGGAAUGUGGACGGUGCUCGUUUGAAUUGUCCACAGAAUGAAAGAAAUGCACUUCUCAGUUUCAAACAAGGUCUGAUUGAUCAAACAAAUAGACUUUCCUCUUGGGUAGGCCAAGAUUGCUGCAAAUGGAAAGGAGUGAGUUGCGACAACUUCACUGGGCAUGUUGUAAAGCUUGAUCUUCGAAAUCCAUUUCCAUUCGACGAGGAUCGUUUUUAUGAUUCUUCCUCUGGAUCUGAUAAGACUUAUAGUGAAGCAUGUCUUGUAGCAGUUGGAGAGGUAAAUUCUUCGCUCUUAGAGUUGAAACAUUUGAAUUACUUAGACUUGAGUUGGAAUAAUUUUUCUGGAAUAGCAAUCCCAAAGUUCUUUGGGUUAUUCCAUGAAUUAACAUAUCUGAAUCUCUCUACUGCAUGGUUUCGUGGAAAUGUUCCACAUCAUCUUGGAAACCUGUCGACAUUGCAUUCUCUCGAUCUUGGCAAUGAUAUUUUUCUCUUUAGUUAUUAUGAUAAUAUUCCAUCCUUGGUUGUUAACACUUUACAUUGGACCUCUAGUUUAGUAUCUUUAAAACACCUAGUCAUGAGUGGGAUAGAUCUUAGCAAUAUACCUCUUGAUUCUUUUCAAGCAGUUGCUCUUUUUUCGUCUUUGUUGGAGUUACGCUUUUCUUAUUGUUCGUUAGAAAAUAUUCCUCUGUUCCAUUCUACACUUAAGAAUUUUACAUCUCUUCAUAUCUUGGACCUUAGCUACAACAAAUUUCAAGGUCCAAUCCCCAGUGCUAUUCGAAACAUGACUUCGCUUAAAGUCCUCCAACUUUCUGGUAACUUGUUCAAUAAUAGUUCAGUUUUGGAUGAACUGAAGAAUUUAUACAAACUUGAAGUUUUGGACUUGUCGAGUAACAAGUUUGCAGGAAAGAUGUUUGAACGAUUUCCAAAUUUCUCAUCUCCAUCCCUUGGAGAUAAUCUUGAGACAUUGAUAUUGUCUAGAAACAGCCUCACAGGGUAUUUGCCUAAUUGGUUGUACCAGUUGAAGAGUAGUCUAAAAUUUCUUGAUCUUUCAGAUAACUCAUUUGAAGGUCGUAUUCCUACAUCUCUAACCAAAUUAUUUGCUUUGCAAGUACUAGAUCUUAGGCAGAAUCAAUUGAGUGGUGAAAUUCCCAUGUCUUUUGGAACACUUUCCAACUUGAAAACUCUAUUUCUUUCAUAUAAUCAAUUCAAUGGGACAAUUCCUACAAGUCUAGGACAGCUUUCACACUUAACAUACUUACGUCUCGAUGCGAACAAUUUUCAUGGUGUAGUAUCUGAGUUGCACUUUGCUAGACUCUCUAAAUUGAAAGAGUUGGCUUUGAGCGACAUUUCUUUGUCUAUUAAAAUAAUAUCUAGUUGGGUACCUCCCUUUCAUCUCGAGUCACUUUUGUUAGAUUCUUGUGACCUUGGAACUCAGUUUCCGAAUUGGCUACAAAAGCAAACGGGUUUGUACGAUCUGGAUAUGUCUAACUCAAACAUUUCAGAUUCUAUUCCAAAUUGGUUUGAGAACCUUACCUUCCUAAAAUUUCUAGAUCUUUCUGGUAAUCAGAUGUAUGGAAAGGUGCCUAAUUUUAUUUCCCCAAAUAUUGUUUAUUUGUACUUGAGUUCUAACCGAUUUGAAGGUUCAUUUCCCCAAUUCCCUUCAUCCUUAGGAUAUUUGGACCUUUCUGAUAACAUAAUUAGCGGAUCUAUCCCAGCAGACAUAGGUUAUAGGCUCCCUAAGUUAAAACUUCUUCUUCUUUCCAAUAACAAUAUCAAUGGAACCAUCCCUAGUUCACUGUGUAAAAUGUUGUCCUUGUCAUAUCUCGAUUUCUCGAAAAAUCAUUUAUCAGGAGUUCUCCCCAACUGCUUAGGUGAUUUAAAGAGAGUUAUGGUUAUAGAUUUAACAUCCAACAAUUUAUCGGGAACUAUUCAAAGAUCAUUUUGUCAUCAAUCGGUGUAUCUAAGAUCAUUGCACUUGAGCAAAAACAAUUUUCAAGGAGAGUUUCCUUCGGGUUUACAAAACUGCACAAGUUUGAACAUUCUAGAUGUCAGUGAUAACAAGUUUUCUGGAGAGAUUCCCACUUGGAUUGGGCAAAACCUAUAUUCUUUGAGAAUUAUAAAGUUAAGCUCAAACAAGUACAAUGGUAGCCUUUCUCCAAAGCUAUGCCAUUUGAAUCAACUUCAUGUGUUGGACGUUGCAGGCAAUAAUCUAUCUGGGAAUAUUCCGCACUGCUUUGGAAAUUUCAAUCAUAUGCUCUUCAAUCAAACAGAUUUCAGUGACUUUUUUUCUGAAGAUGGAAACUACCAAGACGAGUUAUCUCAAGUAAUCAAAGGAAGAGAACUUGAAUAUACAAAGAACCUGCGAUUUGUAACCAACUUGGAUCUCUCUAAUAACAUUUUCAUCGGUCAGAUUCCUGAACAACUUACAAAUCUCUCUGGAUUGAAUGGUUUGAAUCUAUCAAGAAACCAUUUAACAGGAAGCAUCCCAAAAAAGAUUGGUCAGAUGAGGUCACUGGAAUCUCUUGAUUUAUCAAAUAAUCAUCUUUCAGGCACAAUACCACAAAGCAUUUCAGCAUUAACACUUGUAAGCUACUUGAACUUGUCCAACAACAACUUGUCGGGGCCAAUUCCGUCGGGUAACCAGCUCCAAACCUUAAAUGAUACAUCUAUUUACGAUGGUAACAAUGAACUAUGUGGGCUUCCCCUCGAGAAGAAAUGUAUACCACCUCAAACUCCAACAUAUGUUGAUAGAAAAAGCAAAGGAGAAGACAAAAGAGAUGGAGAUGGGUUCAUAACAAUUUGGUUCUACCUCGGCAUGGUAUCUGGGUGUGUGGUGGGGUUUUGGGGUUUUUGUGGUGUUUUGUUGUUUAAGAAGAGUUGGAGGUAUGCUUAUUUUCAAUUUGUUGAUAGCAUCAUCAUUGGCGACCGGUUGGUUUAUACAGCUGCUAGAAGAAAAGUCCGACGAAGACGCAAUUAAAGCGCAAACAACAUUUGUGUUUUUUGUAUCUAGUUUGGUCUAAACCUGACGGGUUUGUCACAUACUGAUCAGGAUGUAUUACUGUUGGAUAAUUAAUAAAAUUUCAUUUCAUUUGGGUGAUUAUUGUUCUCUAGUAGUAGAUUUGCAAACUAUGUUUCUCAGAUGCAAGAUUUUAGUUUAUCCUAGUUGUAUUAACAACAGUCUUGGCCACAAAAUCAGAGCAUAAAUGAUAGAAGCAAAAUGUAUUGGCGCCUUACAAGCGAACAAAUGAAGUUUCUGAAACCGGCACGAAGUGGUUUGACAUCAAUUUUGUGACAAAGUGUCUUUGGUUAUCUCGCCUUGAGUUCAUUGUUAAGAAAAUCAAGAUGUACGCAUGGUCGUCUCGUGUCUCUUGGUUCUGUCUAGGAAAAGUUAUUGGGUACUGGACGUACGUACCUAGUUAGGACGUACGUACGUCCACUGAGGCAGCAAACAUCUUUUGGUCAGGACGUACGUACGCAGUUAGGACGUUCGUACGUCCAAGCAGGCAGCAAACUUUUACCGUGUGGGGACGUACGAACGUUGAUUCGACGUACGUACGUCCAAUAUUUGCUUUGCAUUCAACUCAUUUGAAGGUCGUAUUCCUACAUCUCUAACCAAAUUAUUUGCUUUGCAAGUACUAGAUCUUAGUCAGAAUCAAUUGAGUGGUGAAAUUCCCAUGUCUUUUGGAACACUUUCCAAAUUGAAAAAUCUAUAUCUUGGUCAGAAUCAAUUCAAUGGGACAAUUCCUACAAGUCUAGGACAACUUUCACACUUAACAUACUUAAGUCUCGAUGCGAACAAUUUUCAUGGUGUAGUAUCUGAGUUGCACUUUGCUAGACUCUCUAAAUUGAAAAGGUUGGCUUUGAGCAACAAUUCUUUGUCUAUUAAAAUAAGAUCUAGUUGGGUACCUCCCUUUCAUCUCGAGUACCUUUUGUUAGAUUCUUGUGACAUUGGACCUCAGUUUCCGAAUUGGCUACAAAAGCAAACGGGUUUGUACCGUCUGUUUAUGUCUAACUCAAACAUUUCAGAUUCUAUUCCAAAUUGGUUUGAGAACCUUACCUUCCUAACAUUUCUAGAUCUUUCUGGUAAUCAGAUGUAUGGAAAGGUGCCUAAUUUUAUUUCCCCAAAUAUUGUGGAGUUGUACUUGAGUUCUAACAGAUUUGAAGGUUCAUUUCCCCAAUUCCCUUCAUCCUUAAGAUCUUUGGACCUUUCUGAUAACAUAAUUAGCGGAUCUAUCCCAACAGACAUAGGUUAUAGGCUCCCUGAGUUAGAAUUUCUUCUUCUUUCCAAUAACAGAUUUAAAGGUUCAUUUCCCCAAUUCCCUUCAUCCUUAAGAUCUUUGGACCUUUCUGAUAACAUAAUUAGCGGAUCUAUCCCAACAGACAUAGGUUAUAGGCUCCCUGGGUUAGAACUUCUUCUUCUUUCCAAUAACAGUAUCAAUGGAACCAUCCCUAGUUCACUGUGUAAAAUGUUGUCCUUGAGAUAUCUCGAUUUCUCGAAAAAUCAUUUAUCAGGAGUUCUCCCCAACUGCUUAGGUGAUUUACAGAGAGUUGAGGUUAUAGAUUUAACAUCCAACAAUUUAUCGGGAACUAUUCAAAGAUCAUUUUGUCAUCAAUCGGAGUAUCUAACAUCAUUGCACUUGAGCAAAAACAAUUUUCAAGGAGAGUUUCCUUCGGGUUUACAAAACUGCACAAGUUUGAGCAUUCUAGAUGUCAGUGAUAACAAGUUUUCUGGAGAGAUUCCCACUUGGAUUGGGCAAAACCUAUAUUCUUUGAGAAUUAUGAAGUUAAGCUCAAACAGGUACAAUGGUAGCCUUUCUCCAAAGCUAUGCCAUUUGAAUCAACUUCAAGUGUUGGAUGUUGCAGACAAUAAUCUGUCUGGGAAUAUUCCGCACUGCUUUGGCAAUUUCAAUCAUAUGCUCUUCAAUCAAACAAAUUUCAGUCGCUUUUCUUCUGAAGGUGGAAACUACCAAGACAAGUUAUCUCAAGUAAUCAAAGGAAGAGAAUUUGAAUAUACAAAGAACCUGCGAUUUGUAACCAACUUGGAUCUCUCUAAUAACAUUUUCAUCGGUCAGAUUCCUGAACAACUUACAAAUCUUUCUGGAUUGAAAGGUUUGAAUCUAUCAAGAAAUCAUUUGAAAGGAAGCAUCCCAAAAAAGAUUGGUCAGAUGAGGUCACUGGAAUCUCUUGAUUUAUCAAAUAAUCAUCUUUCAGGCACAAUACCACAAAGCAUUUCAGCAUUAACACUUGUAAGCUACUUGAAUUUGUCGAACAACAACUUGUCGGGGCCAAUUCCGUCGGGUAACCAGCUCCAAACCUUAAAUGAUACAUCUAUUUACGAUGGUAACAAUGAACUAUGUGGGCUUCCCCUCGAGAAGAAAUGUAUACCACCUCAAACUCCAACAUAUGUUGAUAGAAAAAGCAAAGGAGAAGACAAAAGAGAUGGAGAUGGGUUCAUAACAAUUUGGUUCUACCUCGGCAUGGUGUCUGGGUGUGUGGUGGGGUUUUGGGGUUUUUGUGGUGUUUUGUUGUUUAAGAAGAGUUGGAGGUAUGCUUAUUUUCAGUUUGUUGAUAGCAUCAUCAUUGGCGACCGGGUUGGUUUAUACAGCUGCUAGAAGAAAAGUCCGACGAAGAAGCAAUUAAGGCGCAAACAACAUUUGUGUUUUUUGUAUCUAGUUUGGUCUAAACCUGACGGGGUAGUCACAUACUGAUCAGGAUGUAUUACUGUUGGAUGAUUAAUAAAAUUUCAUUUCAUUUGGGUGAUUAUUGUUCUCUAGGAGUAGAUUUGCAAACUAUGUUUCACAGAUGCAAGAUUUUAGUUUAUCCUAGUUGUAGUAACAACAGUCUUGGCCACAAAAUCAGAGCAUAAAUGAUAGAAGCAAAAUGUAUUGGCGCCUUAUAAGCGAACAAAUGAAGUUUCAACCAAUAUUGUACAGUUAACUUUGAUUUUUGAUUUUUGAUUUUUGAUUUUUGAUUUUUGAUUUUUGUGAUGGAUGAAGAACUAGGCCACUAUUCCUUUUGUGUAAAUUCCGUAUUAAUAUUACAUUCUUCAAAUGCAUUUUGCAGAAAUUUAUUCUUCAGUCCACAUCAAACAGACCCUAAUACAAUGAUGAGCUAUGCUGAACAUAUCAAAAUAUGCUAGCAUUUGAUCUUAGCAUAUAUGUAUGCUUCUGAGGACCCGAGUGAUGUGUCUGCUUUAUAUAAACCGCCACUUUCCUGGUUUAACAUCCAAGUGGGGGAUGACGUUUGAGGAUGAAAACCCAAUAUAUGUGCAAUAUAACAAUAGUAAAGCAAACAAUAAAGCAAUAAACAAACAAAGAACACACGAUAUUUUUAACGUGGUAAAACCCAAUAUGGGAAACGUCCACGGUUGUCCUCGCGACAACAAAUAAAUCCACUAGAUGAAAAGAGAUGUACAAACUUAUCAACUACCUGCAAUCACUGCGAGUUGACACUACUGGUUAUCUCUAACACCUUGACUUCACCGGAGCACCUUGAUGUACGCACAAGACACUCGACUUCUUGAUGAACACACAAGAAGACUCGAAGCCGAACUAUGAAACAAGCUUACACCAGAGUUCCUUGAUGAACACACAAGGAUACUCGACUUCUUGAUGAACACACAAGAAGACUCGAAGCUAAAUCAAUAUAAACAAUAAUGAAGAAGAAGAUGAAUGGGGAAGAAGGAAGAAGAAGAUGAAUGGGGAAGAAGAAGAUGAGUUCAAUCACCAAAGCAACCUAAACCAAAACCUAAACGAACUCCAAAACUAGAGAUGAAUUGGACGGCCAAAGAACUACCUCUCUCAUUGGAGAAGAAAGCUAUUUAAACCUAGGGUUGGAAUAUACAGAAAAUGGGCCUGAUUGGACGAAAUCCAUAUUGGACGUACGUACGUCGAAUCAACGUUCGUACGUCCUCACACGGUGAAAGUUUGCUGCCUGCUUGGACGUACGAUUGUCCUAACUGCGUACGUACGUCCUGACCAAAAGAGGUUUGCUGCCUCAGUGGACGUACGUACGUCCUAAUUAGGUACGUACGUCCAGUACCCAAUAACUUUUCAUAGACACGAACCAAGAGACACGAAGGACACGAGACGACCAUGCGUACAUCUUGAUUUUCUUAACAAUGAUUUCAAGGCGAGAUAACCAAGACUCCUCAUGUCACAAAAUUAAUGUCAAAUAACCGAGUGCCGGUUUCAAUCUCCCCCUUUGACAUUGAUUUUGUGACAAAAACCUAUGACUCUAAUAGCACUUAUAAAACGUGCUUACAAACCCAAACCAUGACAUUUAUAAAACAUGCUUACAAAAACACUAAUAGUAGAAUACAUACCGAGUCACCAACACAUGAUAUCCAGCUUGAGUAAGACGCUUUAACCAUCAGAGACCGAACGGAAGCAACAAGAAAUUCUGAAACAAUCAAAGAGCCAACGAAAGUUCCUCGAACAACUCCCCCAUACUUCAUGAGCUCCAAGGUUUAAUACUCGAGCUUACCCAAAACUGUACAUGCACUUUGUGAUCAUCAUCACUUUCACUCCCCCAUACAUGUUCACUCCCCCAUACAUGAAGUAUACCUGAAACAUGACCCAAAACUGUACAACCUCUAAACAUUAACACGUUCACUCCCCCAUACGUGUAGCAUACCUGAAACAUGACCCAAAAAUACACUAACAAAGAAGAAGAAGGUGUUAGUAUUAGAGUCAUAAAUCUCCCCCUUUUUAUCACAAAUGAUGCAAAGGGGUGACAUAAAUCAAAACGAGAAUAAAGCAAAAUGAACCAAAGAAUAGAAGAAGAGAGGAAAGAGAAAACCAUACCAUAGAUCUGGAAUCCAUGACACGCAAAACUAAAAGACAUGAGAGAGAUCUAGGCAUAUAAAUGAAGAAGAAAGAGUAUCAACACAGACACAAGAAAGGAGAUUAGAUAAGAACCAAAACGAGAUAAGAAGGAGAUAGUGAAAAGACACUGAAUACAUAUAUAGGUAACAGAGGGAAGAAAAGAAAACAUAACAUGAAUCCCUGAUAGAAACCAAGAGAAUCCUAUACAUAGAAGAAAGAGUCAGGACCCAUCAAUCGAAACAAAUGAUUCACUAGAAUAUCACUUUAAUCAACCGACCACAGUCACCUGAGAUAGACUCCAGAGAAACGACUUCUUAGUAGGAAGAAAUCUAGAAAAAAAGAACAAACGAACAAAAAGGACGAAAUACCAUACCCGAUGAAAUCGGCAACGUACACUAAUGACCAAGAACCAAAUAGUCAAACCUGUGAGAAAUGUGCAAGAAAAGAAUAUGCAAAAAGAGAAAGAAGAAGAGAUAAACAAUAGUUAGUAGGAGAUAUGAAAGAGAAUAGGGAAACCAUGCAUACUAGACACAUCCAACAAUAUCCCAUGACAAAACUACAGGAAUAUGAGUAUCUGCAGGAUGAAAUAUGUAAAGUAUAAGAAAAUCCAUUGAGAAUCCAUGGGGAAAUCCAAUCUGUACAUGCUCCUGAAACAACUCAUCCAACCACAAAAAAAAAAAUUAGAGAAUCUCAUAAACAAAGAGAAGAAAAUAUUAUCCAAACACAAUGGAAUAGAGACAUAAAAGGAAUAAACCUGUAAGCCCACCCCUAGUGAAACCCAAAAAUUAGUUCAACAUAUGCCAAACAAGAUAAGCAAUCAUCAAACUCAUAAAAAAAUGCUUUAACGGAAGAAUGAACAAGGAUUAUCGAUGUCACUAAGUCACAAAGCAACAAUCCAACUUCAGAGCAAAUUUCCUGCCAGAACACUAAGACUCCGAUGACAUGCCAUACAUUGUCAGAAAGAUUAGAGAGUCAAUAGAAGAGAAUUGCUAACAAUAGAUGACCAAACUGAGGAUAUGCAUCCCAAAGUAGAACAGUGGUAGCCCAAAACCAUUGCAGGAGGAUUAUUGCAGAAGACUACCAAGAACACAUCUAAUCAAACCUAUUGCAGGAAAAAAUAGGAUCAACCAGGCACAAGAAGCAACAAUAAGAGGAUAGGCAAGUCUCAUAAGUAUUUAAUCACACACCAGCUAGCCAACAAGGUAAUUCAAGAAUAUUAUCCCAACAUAGAAAAGUAUGAUGAGAACCUAUGAGAAAACAUGAAGCAAUAUAAAUCAUGACAAACGAAUACACCAAUAACAUGAUUUCAUCACCAAAAUAUGCUUAUGCAUACCUUGUAGCUUUCUUAAAACAAAUUGAGAACUAUUACCUUGAGAAAUCACAUCAAACACAUGUGAUCCAAUGACAAAAAUAGAAAGCAUGAAGGUUAAAACCAAAUAAUACUAACAACCUGACCUUAGUAUGUCAAUGAAACACCGACUGAAAAGAAUUACCAAGGAUUGGAGCCAAAAUAGAGUAAGCCAUAAACACUUUCAGCAAGAACAUCUACCUGUAAAGUUACUGAGAGAAAAAUAAAGUUGACGACACGCACAGUGUCCACGAACCUGCAUACAGUAGAAAAGAGCAGUCUAAGUGGUGAUAGCAACAACCAAUGUUAGAACAACAAGCAUACAAGAAUCCGAAGGAAUGACGCCUCUACUCCUUUGAGCACGAGGAGGACGUGUGCCCGAGGACGAAGCACCCUUGGAACCGGGUGUUUCUUUGGUGGGAGUAGUCCGAGCUCGCUUAGGAGGCAUGUCCUGCAUACCCAGAACAUGAACCAAUCGAAGAAUGUUAGAAAACACUCUAAGUAACAACCAAAACAGGUGAGAAUUUUCAUUUAGGCAUUUGAGCAAACACUUGGUGUGCAAUAGAGAACUAACCGUAACAAUAGAAAAACAAACCGAAUAACUAACAACACAAAUAUUGAGAGACAUCACAUGAAAAAAUUUCUAAGUAUUGUAAGGAUUCCGAUUAAAGCACAAAUACAAUUUGAACAAGCCUCAACCAUGAGAAAAGGCAAGAACGAAGAACUAAAUCAUACACCAAACCACGGUAGUCAAAAGAAUGAUGCAAGUAUGCAGGAGAAGCAGGGUAGUCCUAUACCAAAAUCCGGAAACAAACCAAAACUAAGAUCAAUGAGUAUUUUGAAAGUCACUUGCAAUUGGACAAAUAUAAAAGUGAACCAGAUCACAACAAAACCAAGGAAACACUGUCUAGGCCGCAAUACGGAAAGACCCUGGUUCAAACACAAUGAACAUUUUUAUUGGUUUUAUCCAUGUAAAACAAAUGUCAUUCUCUUGUGGGAGUAUAGUACACCUCCAUCUUUUACCAAAACACGAGGGUAGGGUGUAGCCUACAUCUUUUCGGCAAAACACACUCAAGAAGUGCAAUACCAUGGUAACGUGCAACACAAGAACUAACAUCUCCUGAGUGCAUCCGUCAGAGCAUGACCCUCACAGCCCCAACGGGUUCCUAGCCAACUGAUAAUGCGCCUAAGACAUUCAAAUGGCUGGGGAUUUUGUGAGUCAUUGACCACUUACAAGAGGUAUAUAUAAAAAGAGUGAUGACCAUGAAGAAAACAGAAGCUAGAGAUGAUGCCAGAUGAUCAUUUCUUAAUCAUACAAGGAUCAAGGUAUAAAAAUACUCUAAAAAUCCCACAACAUGCAAAUGCAUCAUGCAGUAAACCACCAAAGGCAAAGGGAGUAUGAUGCAGCCCUACAACAAUCCUUGACAGGAAUCCACAGUUGAAGUUACCAAACUAUAACUAGCCAAAAAUAAUGGAAUCCAAACAAUAAAUAGACUAGUAUGUUCUCAACACCUAAGACAAAGCCUAUAUAAGAGAGAUAAUAAAAGAACCUAAACCUCCCAAACAAAUUGCAACUUAUUUAAGACAAUUGAAUUAAACAAAUAUCUCAGAAACGAUGCAUCCAACAACACAUACAUGGAAUAAAAAAAAAAUAGAAGGAAUAACCAACAACCCUUUUUUUUUUAUUAACAAUGUAUUCAGACAUGCAGCAUGAUCUGCAAGCUAGACAACCAAAGCAUAAAAAAAUAGAAGCACCAAACAAAUAGCCUAUGUGGUUAGAGAAAUAUGCAAUUUAAAUAACACAAGGCUAGAAACAAACUACAUCAUCCCAAAUGUGGGACACCACCAGACCUUUGCAAGUCCAGAAAAACCUUCAACUUAUCCUUUCUUACCCAUACUUGUUUAACACUAGGCGUGAACACCUUGGGAAUUGAAAAGAUAUGAGAUCUCCCCUUAACAAGCUUUGCAAUAGACUUGUCCUUAACUAAUUCCACCUUAGUCUUUGACUUCCUUUUGUUGGAGUAUCUAUUUCUCUUAAACCUAUGACAAUAAACAUUAGAAUUCCAAGGUCUAGAAAACGCACAAGAAGGAACAUAAGAAUCAACAAGAUUAUAAUUAUAAGGAACAUGAGAAUAACAUUUAACAUGUUGAUUAAAAUCCCAACAAAAGAUAUCCAAAUGACCAUCUCUACCACAAUAAGAACAAUGAAAAUUAUUAGAUUUUCUCAAACAAGUCUUAUAAGAAAAUGCAGUAGUGGUGGAUAAACCAUGUAUGUCACUAUUUGGUUUAUGACAUUGUCCCUUAACAAAACCCAUACCUCCCCUAUUAGAACAAGAUGGCUUACCAGCAAAAGCAACCUUAUCAUUAGCCUUAGACUUAAACUUUGUGCGAGAAACAUGCUGAAAACUAUUAGUAUUAAGUCUAGUCUCAAUAGGCGAGGUAGGCAAAAGAGCAGGCAAACUAGAUUUUACAGAAGUAGUCACACUAGAUGAACUAGUAGAACUAGCAAUAGGAGAGUCAAAUCUAGUUUUGUCAAAAACCUGCAAUUUGAGUUGAGUAGACGUUAAAUCGUUCUUUGUUACCUCAUACUCCACCAAUAGAGAUUUGUAUUUCUCAUCGACCUCCUGAUUGGCCUUCUCUAAAGCUGCAAUUCUACAUAACAAGUCAAGUUUUUCUUUUUCAAAUAAUUGAGAAAUAGAAAUUGCACCAUCUGCAGCAGAAAGAAUUUGUUUUUCAAGAGUUUCGAUUUUAUCCUGCAAAGUAAGAUUAGCCUUAUCCAAUUUUUUAAUUUUGGAUUCAUAAACUUCCCCUUGAAGCAUAUAGUCUUCUACACAAUGUCUGAGUCGUUGUUCUAGAGAAUCAACCUUAUUCUGCAAAACACCAUUAUCUUCAAAACAAAAAUUAUCAGAAAUAGUAGACAAAUUACAAUUAGCUUUAUUAAACUUUUCCUGCAAAUCAAUAUUAGCUUUUUGUAAUCUGUCACAUUCUUUUGCAGAAAGUCUGUAAAGAAGAGCCCAAUCACUAUUGCUAACAACAUACAAAUUAUCAUCAUUUUCAAAAUUAGAUUUUGGUUUUGUAGAUUUAGACGAUUUAGUAAUAAAAUUAUUAUAACCAGACUCAUGAACCAUUAUUGCACUCAUAGGAUCUACGCGUGAGCCAUUACGCUCCAUAACAAGCGCCCUACGACUGAUACCAAUUGAAAACCCAAUAUAUGUGCAAUAUAACAAUAAUAAAGCAAACAGUAAAACAAUAAACAAAUAAAGAACACACAAAAAUUUUUAACGUGGUAAAACCCAAUAUGGGAAACAUCCACGGUUGUCCUCGCGACAACAAAUAAAUCCACUAGAUGAAAAGAGAUUUACAAACCUAUCAACUACCUGCAAUCACUACGAGUUGACACUCCUGGUUAUUUCUAACACCUUGACUUCACCAGAGUACCUUGAUGUACGCACAAGACACUCGACUUCUUGAUGAACACACAAGAAGACUCGAAGCCGAUCUAUGUAGCAAGCUUACACCAGAGUUCCUUGAUGAACACACAAGGAUACUCGACUUCUUGAUGAACACACAAGAAGACUCGAAGCUAAAUCAAUAUAAACAAUGAUAGGAAGAUGAAUUGGGGAAGGAUAGAAGAUAGAAGUACACAAAGAUCAACUGAGGAAGAAGAUGAUCUUUGUGGAAGAGCCAACAAACAAACUAGGGUUCUAUAGAGGCUAGGUUGGAACUCUUGCCUUUCACAUAACACCAACGACCUAUUUAUAACCUAGGGUUUGAAACAAGAGAAAAUGAGCCGAAAUAGACAAAACACAUAUUGGACGUACGUACGUCGAAACAGCGUACGUACGUCCUGAGACGUAAAUAGUUCGCUGCCUACUUGGACGUACGAACGCCCUAACUAGGUACCUACGUCCUGAGCAAAACAUGUUUGCUGCCUAACAUGACGAACGUACGCCCUAACUAGGUACGUACGUCCUAAACCCAAAAACAGACUUUUGAUACACUUGACGCGAAGACAAAGACUCGGGAUGACGCGCGUACAACGAGGUUUUCCUAACAAUGAACUCAAGGCGAGAUAACCAUGGACAUCCAAUAUCACAAAAUUAAUGUCAAACAAUCGAGUGUCGGUUUCAUAGAUAACCAUUUGACACCCCUUUAAGGACUAAAACAGACGACUUUUCUCUUUCUUGAUCUCUUUUAACGCAGUAAAAGGUGAAGUUUGAUCAAAUAAGUGGAAUUAGAAGGGGGCUGUGGUUAGAUGAGAUAAGUCUGCUGCAGAAUUAAAUAAAACUUUGGGCAGUACAUUUGAUUUGACAUCAUUGUGAGUUUGUGACAGCUUACAUAAUACAAGAGACAUAUAUAAAGUGUAUUAACAUGGUCAUAGAAUUAGCAUUUUCGAUUAAGUAAUGGUCAAAUAAACUUAUAAAUAAAUCAUGAGAUUUUUGGACAUACCCCCAUUUGAAAGUCGAAAUUUGUGAUACCCGAUUUGAAAAAAAAAAUUGAGAUACCUCCCAAUUCAAGACAGAAGAGCUUUCCGGCCGUAGGUGAGUUUUAUGAUGGACGGCUAAGACAUCUACAUGAGAUAUUCAUACAGUAUGAUUAUAAAUGACAUGAUGUAUUAUUUCAAAUGCUCUUAAUUAUAGUACUGAAACGUUUUCAAAUACUAACAUGAAUGCUUACUAGCAGUGGUGUAUAUCAUCCAGCUGUUUAUAUUGAUUACUGAGAAAACUUGUAUGCUUUAUUUUGAAAAUUAAAUAACAUAGUGCUGUUCAUAAUGUUACUGUGGUGGUUCUCUUUCUCUAAUUUGAUGAAUAUAAUUUGGCUCUUGACAUUGUAGGACAUGGAAUUCGGGUCUUCAAAUGAUGACAUUCGAAUUGAAGUCCUAUCUCGAGUACCAGUCAAAUCUCUCCUUACAUCUAAGUGUGUCUCCAAACGGUGGCAAGGCAUUAUUUCUGAAACUUCGUUUCAAAGACUUCAUUGUCGAAGGACAAAACCUAUUAUCUCCGGGUUCUUCUUCCAAUGUUUGAUGAGAUGCAACAUGUCAAGUAUGUUUCCAUUUGUAACGACCAAGUCACUGUGCAGAACACAAUCCUGAAUUUCAUUCCUCAUAAUUUCCGUCUUAUUGCCUCAAGCAAUGGGCUUAUUUGUUGUCGUAACUUUGGGAUUGGUGCGCAAUUUGUUUUCAUUUGCAACCCAUUGAAAAGGGAAUUCCUCCAAAUAAAGGGGCCGAAGGGUAUUAAUGGACGUAGACUCAGAGGCCUUGGGUUUGUUUUUGACCCACUGUGUUAUUCUUUGGAUGGGACUCCUAGCUUUAAGAUAGUUAGCGUCAGUAAGAAAAAGGGGUUUGUCUUCUCUUUCCACAUUUAUUCAUCUAAGGUAAGGGAGUGGAGAUUAUCGGAGGAGAUCUAUUAUGAUGACUGUGAUUUGUCUCUUGGUGGCCUGGGAAUUUUCGCUGGCGGAGUGUUUUACUGGUUGACUGGUGGGAAUGUAGUCAUGGCAUUUGAUUUAGAAAAGGGCAAGUCCAAGUGCAUAGAUUUAACAGUUCCCAGGAUACAGAGAAAUGAGGGACUUUGUGAAAUGUGCAUUGGGGAGUCUGAAGGCUGUUUUUACUAUAUUCUAAUUACUGAUGCUGAUCUUCGAGUCUGGGCUCUGAAUAGUGAACACAGGUGGUUACUUAAGCACUCAAUAUCCUUGACAGCAAUUUAGGAACAGCACCCAAAUUUCCUGUAUAAGGAAGGAAAAAUUGCGUCAGGAAUAGUUGUGGGUGGAUUAAUAUUGCCAACAUGGAUUGAACCUAUAGCUUUCAAGGAUGGAAAUUUGCUUGUGAAGUUGCGUUGCCGUUUCAACUAUGAACGUGGAGGCCUUGAAGUUUGCACCAAGAUAUACUUGUAUAACUUGGAUGCUGGAACAAUGAAGGAACUCUGCGUCCUUGAGGAAUUGGGACUCCCCGUUGGUUAUUUAAGAACAAUUCCUUAUUGCAUGAGUUUUGCACCAUUGCUAUCUACUUAGGUAGCAGAGGAAGUUACUAUCUGGAACUUUCAGCAGACUGUGCUCGAAGACGGUGAAGAAAUCAGCAAUUCCAUCGUUUAUCAGCAAUACUGUUGAAGUACCUAGUUGGGUGUAUGUUAAAUAAGGUGUGUUAGAGGGAACUUGUGCACUUGUGUGCAAGGGUCUUCAUUCUGUUUGUUUUUCUAUGUUGUCCAUGUUAUGUGGCAGACUAUAGCUGUUGGUACGUUUGUAUUGGCUUAAGUGAUUUCAAGUUUGUGUCCUUAAUGUACUAGAUAUUUACCAUGGUUAAAUAAGAGAUCUGUAACUCAUCUCUUUCAAGGCAAGUGCUAGAUUUUUAACUCAUCUCUUAAUGCCAAUGUUUUCAUGUUUAAAGAUCUUGGGAUAUCCACACUAUUAAAAUUCAGCAAAGGGUAAAAAAGAGUACAUGAUGCUACCUACAAAUGUGCUCCAGAUGCUGCAACAGGCUAAUGUUGGCUUCACAGGUGUAAAUAACCUUGAGACAGAUGGCCUGAAUCUGAUGAUAAUCAUAUGAUGGUGGGACCUGGGAAGAUAAAUUAGCUAUUUUCGUCCCCUAACUUUGCCCAAAUUUUCAGUUGAGUCCCCAAAAUUUAAAUUGGUCAAUUUGGUCUCAAAUCUUUCGAAAUGUUUGCAAAAUGAUCUCACCAUUACCAAGCAUUUAAUAAUUCUCUUUUUAACAAAAUGGGUUCUAUUUUUACACAGUUUGGGUUUGGGUUUGUGUUCUAUUUUUAAACAAUAUGAUGUUGCGCUUGCCACUCACGUACUCUGCUGACCUGGCAAAAAAAAAUAUUAAAAUUUGAAUUUAACAGACCACUAGACAACUUUGUGAAGUGUGCAUUGGGGAGUCUGAAGACUGUCUUCACUAUAUUAUUAUUGCUAGGGCUGCUCUUCAAGUUUGGGUCCUGAGUUGCGAUCACAAGUGGUCACUUAAGCACUUGAUAUUUUUAGCCAAAAUGGAGGAAGAGUACCCAUAUUUCCUCUAUAUUGAAGGAAAAAUAUCUGCAGUUAUGGAUGUGGGCGGAGUAAAUUUGCCAACAUGAACUGAACCUUUAGCAUUCAAGGAUGGAUUUUUGCUUAUAAAGUUAUGUUGCCAUUUCAGCUGCACCCUGAUAUACAUGUACAACCCUGAUGCUGGAACAAUGGAGACACUAAUCACCCUUGAGGAAAUGGGGCUCCCUGUUGGUUACUUAAGGACGCUUCCUUAUUGCAUGAGUUUGGCACCUAUGCAAUCUAUCUAAGUCACAACAUGAGAUCAAAAUACUAGAAGCACAAACAGUCUCGGCAAAUGAUGUGGCAUUUGUGCAAGGGAAGCAGAAACAUCCCUGGAGGGUUAAUCACAUGAUGAGAAGAAUCAAAGCAUUGCUAGGGCAGAUGGAACACUUUCACUUGAAGCAUGUUUACCGAGAAACUAAUCAACUAGCUGAUGUUUUAGCUAGUACUAUUCCGAAUGUUAGCUACAUUGGCAUUGUACCUAGCUCCUUUUCUAAGGAUGUAAGAAAGAUUGUAUUUGAUGAUGCCAAUGGCAAAACUUAUAUGAGAUUGUAACCAGCUUUUUUGAUAAAUGAAACAUGGUAGGGGACCUUAGCAACAACCCCGCUUGCCUAUCAAAGAAAAAAAUCUACCCAAGUGUCAGCAUUCAGCAAGAGAUGGUGAAGGAAUCUCAUUGGAUGGUAUUGGAAAUUUCAGUAACUAAUACUCUGUACUGGAAUGAUACCUCAUCUGAGAGAUUUUGGUUCUAAACUUUUUGGCUGUAUCACCUGCUUAACUGGUGGUCAUUUUGUGUUUUGUUUUCGGUUUUCCUAUGCUAUGUAACAGAAGUAUUAUGUUUCUGGUAAUAAUAAUGUCAGUGGUAUUUGGCUUUUGCUACAUGUUUGACCAAGCUUUUGACAAGGUUUUUAGAGUGCAUUAUGAUGAGUUCUCCGUUAUGAUACUACAGUACAAUAGUACAUAACACAGGUGUUGACCUCCUUUCUAAAAAAUAAAGAAGAAACAGCAGUAUCAAUUAAUAGAUUCUAAUCACUGGAUACAUUCCAAUUCCUUUGAAGAUCAUACUAGCUGACUGUGGUCUGUAAAACUGAUUUCCUGGCAAGUAUGUUCAAUUGCACAAAGUAAAUGAAUAUGAACGUUCUCAGCUUCAUGAAGUUCAUUGUAUCGAAAUUCCAAUUCAUUAAAUCAUUAGUUCAUUGUAUCGAAAUUCCAAUUCAUUAAAUCAUUAGCCCAAUAAAACUUAUUAUUUAAAAAUAAUGCCCAAUAAGUUCAUUGUAUCGAAAUUCCAAUUCAUUAAAUCAUUAGUUCAUUGUAUCGAAAUUAUUGGGUAUUAUUUUUAAAUAAUAAGUUUUAUUUUUUUAUUUUUUUACUAAAACAAAUUUUAUUGAUAAGCUCAAAGAAUUACACGAAAGUAGAGGACAAAUUUAUUUAUAAAUAAAAGAGAUUUUGGCACUUACCCCCUCAUUUGAAAGUCGAAAUUUGGAUUCCCCCUCCCCAUUUGAAAAAUAUAUAGCAGUUACCCCCCCCCCCCCCCCCCAAUUGGAUGGAAAAAAUAGAUGGUGUUACGAAAAUUAAUUUUUGAAUUUUCAUAAAAUAAUAUAUUUUGAUAAUACCAAAAUUACCCUUCUUUAUACAUGUAAAUAAUAACACAUAAUUAGUAAACCCCCUACUGAAACAUACAUAAUUAACAAUACCCCCAAAUCAAUUUGCAAAAAAAUUUGAAGGAGAAGAUGAAUUUUUACGAAAGAAAAUAAAAUUUGUUUGAGAAAUUUGUUAAAAAUAAUAGUAGAUACAUGUUUCCCUCAAUCACCCAUACUUUUUUUCUAAUUGUUAGCUUUAAAUUUAAAGAACUGAAAUUUAUUUGAGAAAAGUUAGGUUUAUUUAUAAACUUUUGGGAAUUUUGGAUUUUUGGGGAAGACAACAAAGUUGACAGUUAGAUUAAGUACUAAAUAGAUGGGAUAAGAUUUAUGACAGAUGUCAUUAUUAUCAGAAUAAAAAAGGUAUUUUUGGUAUUAUUAAAAUAUUUUAUAUAUUUUAAAAAAAUUCAAAAAUUGAUUUUUGUAACAUUGUCUAUUUUUUCCGUCCAAUUGGGGUAACUGCUAUAAAACCCUCGGUGUAAAUUUACACAACAUAAAACCUCACUAUUUCCGACCAAAAAAAAAAAAAAAAAAAUCCAAUAGUGAGGAUCUAUAUUCCAAAUGUUAAUUGGAGUUACUAGUCUGGUAGCCCAUAGAAGGGAUGCUUUUUUCGUUUAGGUUUUAUUAUUUUGGUCUGUCAGCAGUCAGUAGUUCCAUGUUAGAAGUUAGAACUUCAAAUACUCACGGUAUCCAGUGUAAGCCUAAAUUUAAGUAUUUAACUACGAUUACUGAGAUGUAUGUUGAAAAGAAAACCAUCUCUUACUUCAAAGAAUUCUUCUUCAAAACAUCAUCACAUUUAUAUUAAUAAAAAAGAAUACCGAAUGAACUGGACACUGACAUAUAUUACGAAAUUUACUAUGUUAUGAUACGUGCAAAUGGAGAUUCGUAUGUCUUACAUAUGAAGCAUUGGUGGCAUGUCUCCAUCUAUAUCAGAACCAAUAUAUGAUGACACAGUCGCUAACUGGUAGCUCUUUCAUUAUGUGUUUGUGCAGAACUUUGAGGAGAAUUUGUCUCUUGGAUAAACCUGAAGUUCUUUCUCUGAGCUUCAGUUUAUAGGUGUUGAAAGAUUCGUCUCGAUCUUUUAUUCUCUUUCUUUCAAAGGUAUUGCUAUAUGGCUUCCUGUAAUGCUUUUAGAUGCCAACUUAAGUGACCAAUAGACUACAUGGAGAAGUCUGAGGAGGAACUUUCCACUUCCAACUUCCAUGCAUGUUAACAACUACAUAAAAUGGAAGUUGCAGGUAGAUCAUCUUAACUUACCUUAGCCUAGACUUUCUUCUUUCUUGAUAUAUAACAAAUUAUUUGAAAGUGAAAUCCAACAGAUACAUAAACUCUAGGCCAGUUGUCACUAAAGAGUAAUAGCAGACUAUAACUAUCAACAGAGGCAACUAAUUCCCACAAUCUAUUCUUACUUGAUUGAGUAACGAUUCAGGUGGUUGCACUCCAUUUGAUUGCAUUUCAUACAAAAACUUGAUGCCCUCAUUGUAGAAUCCAUUUUGCGCGUAACCAGUUAGCAUUGCAUUCCAACACACAUUGUUUGUUCUCUUCUCGUACCUCCUUGCCAUUUCAAACAAUUUUCUUGCAUCUUUCACCAUACCACAUUUACCAUACAUGUCAACCAAACUACAUUGAACAAACUGAUCCGAUUCAAUCCCAAGUUUGAUAGCAUUGCAAUGUACUUGCCUGCCACCCCCCUCAUCUCCCAUUCUCCCACAUGCCCUGAUAACACUUGACAAUGUGAAGUUGUUCUUCUUGGAACCUGAUCUUCCCAUCUCUUCAAAAACCUCAAGAACCUCCUUAAAAUGCUCCUCUCUACUAUACACGACAAUCAUAUUUGUCCACACCACAGUAUCGCGUAAUUCCAUCUUGUCAAAGAUGCAUCUUGCACUACUAACGCAUCCAAGCUUUCCAUAAAAAUUAAUCAACAAGCUACCUAUAAAUAAAUCAUCCGAACAACCACCUCCUUUGUUAAAAAUCCUUUUAUCCAUCUUUACUACCAAUCCAUGAAUUUGUGUUCCGAGUUCAAAAUCACCUGUCUGAAUACACGCUCGAAGAACACAAUCGACAAUCAAACCCCACAUUGAUGCGUCCUCAAGUAAUCCACAUUGCUCUUGCAUCAGUUUAAACAAAGUGAGUGUCUCAACAUGUUCCCCAUUAUCAAAAUGACCAGCAAUCAUAGUCGCCCAUAUAAUAGAGUCCUUUAAAAGCAUUUUAUCAAACAGUUGGUGAGCAGAAUCCAAACGUCCACAAGAUACAUACAUAAGCAAUAAACGAUUUGCUAAUAGCAAUGUAGUUGAUAUCCAUUUUGGGUCAUGUGAGAGUAAACUUGGGAACCACUUUCAGCAUCUCUUAAUUGGGUACAUUCUUUUAACAAGUAAGCAUAAACAUCUAAUGGAAUAGAUAAAUGUAGGCUAUCCAUUAGGCUUAAAAUGUCGCAAACACCCGCAUUGGCAUUACUACUACUGCUGCUACUAUUUUUAUUUUUAUUUUUGGUCUGAACGGGGUAUGUUGAUUUGAUGUGGACUGGUGGUGAUGGGUAGAAGGAGAUUUUGGGUUUCGGAGGAUGGUGCAAGGGUGGAAGAAAUUGAAGUGGACAAGGGUUUAUAAUAUGAGUAGGGUAAAUUGGUGAGAAGGUGGUGCUGAUAAUAAUUUCAUUCACUUUGAUUUUGAUGUUUUGGUUGAUUGAUUGAUUGCUUGCUUGCUUAAUAAUGCAAUUGUCUUCUUCACCUCAAGUCCUCAAACCACACAGUCACACAGUCACACUCACACCAAAAAAGUUUCCAAACGGUAAUAGACUCAAGACUCAUGACAGCCACAAUUAAGAGAUAAGCAGGCCACUGGACGAUCAAAAUGUGUGAUAAAUAGACUUUUUAUGAGUCUAUGCUAAAAAAUGAGUGAUAAUCAGAAACCAGUUGGUCAGUUUUUGAAUCAAGUAAACCCCCAUCAACUUCUUCAUGGACAUAGCUUGGAUUUUUAGUAGACUUCAGCAACUUGCUCUAUCGGAGAAAAAACCUUAUAAAAUGGCUUGGGGAGAUGUUCAUUUGAAAAUACAUCAAAACAUUUUCUUUGUUAGAAAUGGCAUUUCUAAAAUCCAUUAUACUUGUGUUUAUUGUCUUCUGUUUUAUAGAAACAAUUCAGCUCGGUUGGAAUGUGGACGGUGCUCGUUUGAAUUGUCCACAAAACGAAAGAAAUGCACUUCUCAGUUUCAAACAAGGUCUGAUUGAUCAAACAAAUAGACUUUCCUCUUGGGUAGGCCAAGAUUGCUGCAAAUGGAAAGGAGUGAGUUGCGACAACUUCACUGGGCAUGUUGUAAAGCUUGAUCUUCGAAAUCCAUUUCCAUUCGACGUGGAUCGUUUUUUGGAUUCUUUCUCUAGAUCUGAUAAGACUUAUAGUGAAGCAUGUCUUGUAGCAGUUGGAGAGGUAAAUUCUUCGCUCUUAGAGUUGAAACAUUUGAAUUACUUAGACUUGAGCUGGAAUAAUUUUUCUGGAAUAGCAAUCCCAAAGUUCUUUGGGUUAUUCCAUGAAUUAACAUAUCUGAAUCUCUCUACUGCAUGGUUUGGUGGAAUUGUUCCACAUCAUCUUGGAAACCUGUCGACAUUGCAUUCUCUCGAUCUUACCACUCACGAUAUUUUUCUCUUUAGUUUUUAUGAUUAUAUUCCAUCCUUGGUUGUUAACACUUUACAUUGGACCUCUAGUUUAGUAUCUUUAAAACACCUAGUCAUGAGUGGGAUAGAUCUUAGCAAUAUACCUCUUGAUUCUUUUCAAGCAGUUGCUCUUUUUUCGUCUUUGUUGGAGUUACGCUUUUCUCAUUGUUCGUUAGAAAAUAUUCCUCUGUUCCAUUCUACACUUAAGAAUUUUACAUCUCUUACCAUCUUGGACCUUAGCUACAACAAAUUUCAAGGUCCAAUCCCCAGUGCUAUUCGAAACAUGACUUCGCUUAAAGUCCUCCAACUUUCUGGUAACUCGUUCAAUAAUAGUUCAGUUUUGGAUCUUACAUCUCUUACCAUCUUGGACCUUAGCUGGAACUAUUUGCAAGGUCCAAUCCCCAGUGCUAUUCGAAACAUGACUUCGCUUAUAGUCCUCCAACUUUCUCAUAACUCUUUCAAUAAUAGUUCAGUUUUGGAUCUUACAUCUCUUACCAUCUUGGACCUUAGUUGGAACUAUUUGCAAGGUCCAAUUCCCAGUGCUAUUCGAAACAUGACUUCGCUUAAAGUCCUCCAACUUUCUGAUAACUGGUUCAAUAAUAGUUUAGUUUUGGAUGAACUGAAGAAUUUAUACACACUUGAAGUUUUGGACUUGUCGAGUAACAAGUUUGCAGGAAAGAUGUUUGAACGAUUUCCAAAUUUCUCAUCUCCAUCCCUUAGAGAUAAUCUUGAGACAUUGAUAUUGUCUAGAAACAGACUCACAGGGUAUUUGCCUAAUUGGUUGUACCAGUUGAAGAGUAGUCUAAAAUUUCUUGAUCUUUCAGGUAACUCAUUUGAAGGUCGUAUUCCUACAUCUCUAACCAAAUUAUUUGCUUUGCAAGUACUAGAUCUUAGUCAUAAUCAAUUGAGUGGUGAAAUUCCCAUGUCUUUUGGAACACUUUCCAACUUGAAAAAUCUAGUUCUUUCUUAUAAUCAAUUCAAUGGGACAAUUCCUACAAGUCUAGGACAACUUUCACACUUAACAUACUUAAGUCUCGAUGCGAACAAUUUUCAUGGUGUAGUAUCUGAGUUGCACUUUGCUAGACUCUCUAAAUUGAAAAGGUUGGUUUUGAGCUACAAUUCUUUGUCUAUUAAAAUAAGAUCUAGUUGGGUACCUCCCUUUCAUCUCGAGUUACUUUCGUUAGGUUCUUGUGACAUUGGACCUCAGUUUCCGAAUUGGCUACAAAAGCAAACGGGUUUGUACUAUCUGGAUAUGUCUAACUCAAACAUUUCAGAUUCUAUUCCAAAUUGGUUUGAGAACCUUACCUUCCUAAAUUUUCUAGAUCUUUCUGGUAAUCAGAUGUAUGGAAAGGUGCCUAAUUUUAUUUCCACAAAUAUUGCGAAUUUGUACUUGAGUUCUAACAGAUUUGAAGGUUCAUUUCCCCAAUUCCCUUCAUCCUUAACAGAUUUGGACCUUUCUGAUAACAUAAUUAGCGGAUCUAUCCCAACAGACAUAGGUUAUAGGCUCCCUGAGUUACAAUUUCUUCAUCUUUCCAAUAACAGUAUCAAUGGAACCAUCCCUAGUUCACUGUGUAAAAUGUUGUUCUUGAGAUAUCUCGAUUUCUCGAAAAAUCAUUUAUCAGGAGUUCUCCCCAACUGCUUAGGUGAUUUACAGGGAGUAGUGGUUAUAGAUUUAACAUCCAACAAUUUAUCGGGAACUAUUCAAAGAUCAGUUUGUCAUCAAGCGGAGUCUCUAACAUCAUUGCACUUGAGCAAAAACAAUUUUCAAGGAGAGUUUCCUUCGAGUUUACAAAACUGCACAAGGUUGAGCGUUCUAGAUGUCAGUAUAACAAGUUUUCUGGAGAGAUUCCCACUUGGAUUGGGCAAAGCCUAUAUUCUUUGAGAAUUUUAAAGUUAAGCUCAAACAAGUACAAUGGUAGCCUUUCUCCAAAGCUAUGCCAUUUGAAUCAACUUCAAGUGUUGGACGUUGCAGGCAAUAAUCUAUCUGGGAAUAUUCCUCACUGCUUUGGCAAUUUCAGCGCGAUGAUCUUCAAUCAAACAGAUUUCAAUGGCUUUUAUCUUCUUCAUGGAUACCAAGACAAGUUAUCUCAAGUAAUCAAAGGAAGAGAACUUGAAUAUACAAAUAACCUGCGAUUUGUAACCAACUUGGAUCUCUCUAAUAACAUUUUCAUCGGUCAGAUUCCUAAACAACUUACAAAUCUUUCUGGAUUGAAUAGUUUGAAUCUAUCAAGAAAUCAUUUGAAAGGAAGCAUCCCAAAAAAGAUUGGUCAGAUGAGGUCACUGGAAUCUCUUGAUUUAUCAUAUAAUCAUCUUUCAGGCACAAUACCACAAAGCAUUUCAGCAUUAACACUUGUAAGCUACUUGAAUUUGUCCAACAACAACUUGUCGGGGCCAAUUCCGUCGGGUAACCAGCUCCAAACCUUAAAUGAUACAUCUAUUUACGAUGGUAACAAUGAACUAUGUGGGCUUCCCCUCGAGAAGAAAUGUAUACCACCUCAAACUCCAACAUAUGUUGAUAGAAAAAGCAAAGGAGAAGACAAAAGAGAUGGAGAUGGGUUCAUAACAAUUUGGUUCUACCUCGGCAUGGUGUCUGGGUGUGUGGUGGGGUUUUGGGGUUUUUGUGGUGUUUUGUUGUUCAAGAAGAAUUGGAGGUAUGCUUAUUUUCAGUUUGUUGAUAGCAUCAUCAUUGGCGACCGGUUGGUUUAUACAGCUGCUAGAAGAAAAGUCCGACGAAGACGCAAUUAAAGCGCAAACAACAUUUGUGCUUUUUGUAUCUAGUUUGGUCUAAACCUGACGGGUUUGUCACAUACUGAUCAGGAUGUAUUACUGUUGGAUGAUUAAUAAAAUUUCAUUUCAUUUGGGUGAUUAUUGUUCUCUAGGAGUAGAUUUGCAAACUAUGUUUCACAGAUGCAAGAUUUUAGUUUAUCCUAGUUGUAUUAACAACAGUCUUGGCCACAAAAUCAGAGCAUAAAUGAUAGAAGCAAAAUGUAUUGGCGCCUUAUAAGCGAACAAAUGAAGUUUCAACCAACAUACAGUUAACUGAUUUUUGAUUUUUGAUUUUUGUGAUGGAUGAAGAACUAGGCCACUAUUCCUUUUGUGUAAAUUAAUAUUACAUUCUUCAAAUGCAUUUUGCAGAAAUUUAUUCUUCAGUCCACAUCAAACAGACUCUAAUACAAUGAUGAGCUAUGCUGAACAUAUCAAAAUAUGCUAGCAUUUGAUCUUAGCAUAUAUGUAUGCUUCUGAGGACCCGAGUGAUGUGUCUGCUUUAUAUAAACCGCCACUUUCCUGGUUUAACAUCCAAGCGGGGGAUGACGUUUGAGGAUACACUAUGAGUCUAUGACUAUGCCCUCACAUAAGUUCAAGAGAGGAGAAGAAAAGGAUGAAAGGAAUUUGAAUCAAACACUACAAAUAUACAGUCUAAGUUCAAGGGGGAACAAAGAACAGUAAUGGAAUGCAAUUAUUUUUUAUGAGUAUGCCCUGAAUGCGCACAACAAAAGCCUACUUGUUGUUUAUCCAGACUCUUGUAAUUAUCUUUCAAAGAGCUACAAGAAUGAUUUCGGCAUUCCCUUGAAACAACCAACCUUACAAAAAUACAGAAACAAGAUCAACUGCCAUGUCACUUGAUAUUGGAAGAAAUGGGAACAAUUACAUCGUACAUACUGUAUGCUUCAGAACUCAGAUUAGGCUGAAGUAAUAGAACUAUGGGUCCAUUUGAUUGGUCACGCCAAAUAUUCCCGGGGAAGUAUCAGGUUUAACACAAUUUUGAGAACAAAAAGGUGAGUUAUCUCCCAAAAUAACAGCCGAAAGGUCCUGCUUUUGUCCGAAUUGUUGUCCCUGAUUCUAUACAUAUUACACCCUCGAAACUCUCUAUAGCAACAAUUCCCAGACAUAUCUACUACUACUACUGCUACUAGCAUUUAUGCAUUGAGCUCACUUUACCACAGAUGAUUCUGUUUCGUAAAUCUUAGUACAUACCACAUAUUGAAAGGAAAUAAUUAACUUUUCUCUUUGUUUUUUCAUGUAAUUAUUUAAUAUUCUGAACACCCUUUUAAUGAAAUUCUCCUACUCUAUCCAACAAGAUUGCAACAGCACUUUAUCUGUAAUUCCUUUCUAUAGAGAGACUGGCCGUACGAAAAUUCAAAGUCGAGUGUAUGAUAAUUGAUCUAUAUAUGGAUUGGAAUUGAAGAGACGUUGUUUUCAGACUUGUCAAAUUUUAAAGAGUUCCAACUAUUAUCUUGACAAUCAAAUACCCUUGAAACAACCAAUCUCACACACAACAACAAGAUCAACCGCCACCGCCACGUCAUUAUUUUACAAGUAGCUGUCUACCUAAACUUUAACUGCCAAAAUUAAAGUGUCUUUUGUAAAAAAAAAAUUAACUAGGCCUGCUAAAAUACAUCGCCUACUUGCUAUAUUUUAGUCAGUCUACCAUUAAAAAACCUCACCUAAACAUAAACCGAAAAUAAAUCAGAGUAAUGUUUACUUUUUGCUCUCAAACCAGAGUACCAGACUAUAGACAAAACAACAACAUUUACAAUAAAUCAGUUUCAGAUACACUUUAUCUAAAAAAAACGAGAACAGACCAAAGGAGGAAAUGUUUUCCUUGUGAAUUAAAAUCAUGCCAUAUACAGAACAUAUUUUCAGGUUUUCAGCAAAAGCAAAAUACACAAAUACGAGAUAUAGAAUGGAUAUAAUGCAUUAACCAGGAAAAAUCAAAGGUUUUUGUUAUGCAAGUAAGUUUGGUACACAAAUUGAGCACUUACAAUAUCAACAACAGCAGAACCAACAGACUUGAACAGAAGGAUUGAAGAGUUGAUUGAAGAUGUUGAAUUAGAAUUGGGUAUUUGAAGAUUGAUUGUAAGGUGACAUUAUUAAGGAAGAUUGGGUUUGAUUCAAUGUUUUGAGGGUUUUCUUGAAACCUUUCCUUGCAGUUGGAUUACAGACUAAAAGUCAUACUGAGGCUGUUCUGUGCAUUAAUCAGAUUAUUGAAACCUUUCCUUGCAGUUGGAUUAUACAGUUUAUCACUCUCACAAAAUGCAAGUACGUAAAAUAAAAAAGAAAAAUCGAAAUUAAAAGAUCAAACAAGACAAAACUAGUACUGCAGAGAACCAGACAAAUAAAAAAAAUUGCCCAACUCAUAGCAGUGCAUUAAUGUGCUUCUAAAUUCUGAUACUUCCUUUAUUUCAUGUGAAUUCCCGUUGUUUACACCAAUGGAACAGCUAUUUACUGAGUAUAUUAUGAUUACGAUGAAAGGCGGAAUGAACAAGAGCAGAAGUGAUUUGUAAAGACCUUUUUCAUUUAGCCGUAUAUCCUAAAAUGAUCAUUAUGUUCUCCUUCAAUCAAAACUCAUGAGAACAAAUGAGUUCAUCCAAAACAGAUAUCCAGUCAAGUAGGCAGGUUACUGCUUGAGAAGGCUAUGAAAUGCUUUCAGAAUCCUUUUACAUCAAAGCUUUCAAGGAUCCCCUCCUCCAAACUAACCAAGCAAGAAUCUGAAUAUAUCACUCAGUGAAAUGAUGCCUUCAACUCGCUUGCUACCAGCCUCCACGAUGAUAAGCCGUCUCACCCCUGAAAAAUCAAAAGUGGUCCAACAAAAUCAGCGAAUAUCAAGUUACAGUAUACACUAAUUCAACAAAAAGAGCUAAAAAUACACAAAGCUUUACCUGGAUUAGCCAAUUUUUCCAUCACCUUGUGCAGAGAAUCAGAUCGCAGACACAUUUGACAUCGUUGUCCAUUAAAGAAGCUAUGAGGAGAAUUUGCAUCUUGUCCCAGCUGUAAUGCCUUGAAAAUAUAAAAAAAAAAGGUUGGUUGAGCACUACUUACCCUGGACAAUCACGCAUAAGAUACAUUCAUCAUGCAAAAUGGGAUGAAUAUAUGAGGUGCAAAAUCAAAUUGGCCUGGAUGUGCAAUUCUCCAAUAAAAACGAUUCAUCAUGCAAAAUGGGAUGAAUAUAUGAGGUGCAAAAUCAAAUUGGCCUGGAUGUGCAAUUCUCCAAUAAAAAC